UUUUUUUUAGUUGGUAUUAACAUGCAUUCGACCUUACUCAACAAAGUUUUUGGAGCGCUCAAAGAGGAGAGGGAAGGCCCAGCCAAAGAGUAAACCUUCCAAACGCCGUAACUCAACACCUCCUGAGUACAAGAACCUGAAGGUGGUAGAAAUCAAGCACGAGACAAACUCUACAGCUCCCUUGGAGAAUAUUUUCUUGGAAAUUUCAAAGGGAAUGCCGAAGGAAAUGCCGCUAACUCGGUGGCACCGGGUUGAAAAAUUGAGCAACACGGGUCCGAUGACGAUAUUACGAUUACGAUUAUUUAGAACAGAAAAUGGCAAAGUGAACUUGAAUUAAGUUGAUGGAGGACAUAAGGAACAUGCGUCUCUCAAAUAAAUCCAGAGAUUAACCACGGAUCUACUAGAAGGUGAGGUGGCACGGUUGGUUGGAACAUUUACAGUGCCAUCUUUGGUUGUAAGGACAUUUCAGGUCUAACUUCUGAGAGAUUUACAUGCGAGUAUGAUUAUCAUAAUUUUUGCUUUGUGAUGAUGUUGGGUAAAAACUAAAGAGUACCAUGUCUUUGCUGAGGAUAUAUGCUUUAGUUUCUUAUAACAUGGUUAUAGCUCUGGACAGAAUCGGACUCAGCCGUACUCACAACACUACAUUGAUUGUUAUCAGAAAAAAUACCUUGAUUGUACGAAUAACUAAAAACGGGGCCCAUGGUCGUUUUAAGCUAGGAAUGCUUAAAAAUCUACGAGCAUUUCUGUCAACAUGCCACUUGUCAGAUCCGAGUCGGUCUGAAGAACUAGAUUCAGACAAGUUAUCCGAAACACUCAAAUCUUAGCAACUUUAUUGGAUGAUUCCGAGAGUUUGGAUGCAAAUCAAGAGGAACCUAAGGCUAGCCAAGAACACUAGCCGCUAAGAGGGAAACCCUAAUAGAAGUGAUGAUUCUCCACCGAUCCAGAAACUGAGCUUUAUAGCCUUACAAAAUGAAGGAAAAAGUAAGAAAGUAAAACUGAACCUUUGCUGAGAAGGUAAACAGCGACGCACGUGAGAUGUACAGCCAUAUGAUGCGGGAUGGACACGAUCUAGUACAGCAAGUUUUGCUCGGCUCCGAAGAGGGAGGGGCGAUGACGGUGGCGCGCCUUUGGCUCACUUUAGUGCUUGCAGUCGUCGCUAGGUGGUCUAGAGAUCAAGAUACAAUUUUUAUUAUUUCUGGUAGUCAUUGUAUUACCAUGAUUGAGGAUGAAUAGAUUGGAAGUUUUCUCCCAAAAAAAAAGAAGUCGCGAAGCGGUACGGGUGCAGGAGGAGCGUCAGAUCGCAGAUGGACGGUACCGGGAGCUUCACACCAACAACUACGAAUUCAAAACUUAACCGAAUCUAUGUCUGCAGUGUUCUAAUUCUUCAUAUGCUCAACGCUAGGUCCUGACAACUCCCCCCCGAACAACUCCAAACAUGUCCUCAGGACUGGAACUCUGGAAAAACCUUUUGUACGAAUGCGGCGUCUUCACAAGUGGCAUCUUUCUCGUUCAUGUUACUCCAGUUGAUGAGCCAGCGCAUGACAGGAAUGUGAAUGCCACCUUGAGCUCUAGGGAUGAGUUUCCUUUCUAGUAACUUCUUUGGUUCAAGAAGAAUUGUUCCAUCAACAUUAAGUAGUGGAAGUUUUGCGUUGGGUAUUGCUUGAGGCCCUAGGUGCUUCUUUAAUUGACUAACAUGGAAAUUUGGAUGUAAUUUACAGUCAUCGGGUAAGAGCAACUUGUAGGGGACAUUUCCAACUUCCUGAAGUACUCUGAAAGGGGCAUAGUAUCUUGAGUGCAAUUUGAGAAAUAUGUGGAUGCUCAAGGUAGUAUGUCUGUAUGGUUACAGUUUUAGAUAUACCAUAUCUUCUAUCUCUAGGGUCCUUUUAGACCUCUUUUUGUCAGCAUGAUGUAUCAUCCUUUCUUGUAUUCCCAACAAAUUUUCUUUUAUCUGGGCUGAAGUCUGUUCUGCAGUAAGGACAAAUGAGAAAUCUUCCACUUGUUCAGUUGGAUAGAGAGCAGCUUCAAAGAUCAUAUUGAGAGGUCUAUUGUGUAGAGCUUGGAAAGGAGUGAUUUCAGAUAAGUAUGGUAGCUAGUGUUAUACCACCAUUCUGCGAGGGAGAGCCAAUGCAUCCAUUUCUUUGGCUGUAAGAAACCCAUGCACCUGAGGUAGGUUUCCAAGCAUUGAUUAACUCUUUCAGUUUGGCCAUCAGAUUGAGGAUGAUAAAAAGUGUUCAUCUGCAACUUAAUGCCCAUAAGUGUUGAAGAUCAUAUUUGUAUCAGUUACAAUAACUGAAGGUAAUCCAUGUAGUCUGAAGAUGUUGUUAGUAAAUGCUUUGGCCACAGAGUUGACAAUAAUUGGGUGCUUCAUUAGGAUGAAAUGGCCAUACUUUGUGAAUCUGUCCACCACCACUAAUAUCAAGUCCUUAUUGCAUAAUGUGGCAAGGCCUUCCACGAAGUCCAUGCUUAUGUGACACCAGGCAAAGUCGGGGAUGGGCAAGGGCUGUAGCAGACCAGGUUAUUUGCAAUGUUCAGGUUUACUAAUCAAACAUGUUGGGCAUUGCUUAAUGAAGUCUACAAUGAAUUAUUUCAUGCCUAGCCAAUGGAAGAGAAGCUUCACUCUUUGAUAAGUAGCUCUAUGUGCAGAAUGUCCUCCAAUUUCAGAAUUGUGCAAUGCAAGCGCUAAUUUAGUUUCGAGAUCAGUGUUAUUUCUACUAACAAUUCUAUUUUUUGUAUCUUAAGAUGUCCUGUUGUAAAACAUAAUUUGGGAUAGUAGCUGGCGUAAUUUCUAGUGGUCAUGUGCAUAAUUUGCAACUACUUCGGAUAUCCAGGCAGGUCUUGCAGUACCGGCCAUAGGCGAGUUCAGUUUGUACUUGACUCUAGACACACUAUCAGCAACUUUGUUGUUCUCUUGUUUGUACUCCAUUUUGAAGUUGUGGCCCAAGAUCUUGAUUAACAAUUUGUGUUGAAUCCCUUCAGUGAGUUUUUGUUCUUGUAUAUAUUUCAAGCUCUGUUGGCCGGUCCUUAUAAUCGGUGAGGAUGCAGCAAAGUAAUGUUUCCAGCGCUUCAAUUAUGGCUAGAGCCUCCUUAUCAUAUGUUGACAUUGCUGCAAUUUUAGGGUCAAUAAUAGUCUUGCUAAAGAAUGAGAAUGGCCUUCCAUCUUGCAUUACUACAACCUGUAUUCCAUAAGCACAUACACCCUUUUCUUGGAUAAAAGCUUUAGAGAAAACAAGGAAGGAAAGCACAAGGUCUUGGGUCAUCUUGUCUUUCAAAAUAUUAAAAGCUUCCAUCUGUUCAGUGCCCCAUUGGAAAUUAUCCAUCUCCAGGGACUGAAACAAGAGUUUGCAAAUAAACCAUAGUUUUGUAUGAACCUCUUGUAGUAACUAGUGAGACCAAGGAAGCCUCUUAGCUGAGUUGCAUUUUCUGGAGUGGGCCACUGAACUAUGGCCUCAAUCUUGAUCGGGUCUGUGGCAACUCCAUCACCUCUAAUGACAUGUCCCGGGUACUCAACCUGAGGUUGUGCAAAGGUGCACUUGCUGAUUUUUUGCAUAUAACUGGUGAGAUUAAAGUACCUCCAGAACUCGUCGCAGAUGGAUGAGAUGCUCCUUCAUAUUUCCAUUGUAUAUUAGUAUGUCAUCAAAGAAAACCAUUACAAAUUUUCUAAGGAAUAGUGCUAGGACUGCAUUCAUCAACAGUUGGAAAGUGGUAGGUGCAUUUGUCAGGCCAAAGGGCAUGACAAGGUAUUCAUAACGGCCACAAUCUGUAUUGAAUGCAGUUUUUCUGAUGUCUUCUUAUAGCAUUUUUAUCUGAUGAUAGCCACUUCUCAGGUCCAAUUUAGUGAAUACAGUGACCCUUUUAAUUCAUCAAUCAAAUCUUCUAUGACAGGUAUUGGGUACUUAUUUUUGAUUGAUUGCUAGUCAUAAAUUUUGAGUUCACAAAUUCGUGACAAAGUGUAGAGAUAAAUUGGCCAUAUUUUUCAUAUUUUAUAUGGGUACAUGGUAUGUGUAUGGGUUAUACGAUCCAUACCUGUACCCGCUUUACCCGAUGGGUUUCAGAUUUCCCUAUUUAUAUACCCAUGGAUAACUUUGUUGGGGAACGCGGUAAUUUCAAAAAAAAUCCUACGCACAUGCAAGAUCAUGGUCAUGCAUAGCAACGAGAGGGAAGAGUGUUGUCUACGUACCCUCGUAGACCGUAAGCGGAAGCGUUAUGACAACGCGGUUGAUGUAGUCGUACGUCUUCAUGAUCGACCGAUCCUAGCACCGAAGGUACGGCACCUUCGCGAUCUGCACACGUUCGGCUAGGUGACGUCCCACGAACUCAAGAUCCAAUAGAGUGUCGAGGGAGAGCUUCGUCAGCACGACGGCCUAAUGACGGUGAUGAUGAUACUACCGAAACAGGGCUUCGCCUAAGCACCGCUAUGAUAUGACCAAGGUGGAUUAUGGUGGAGGGGGGCACCGCACAUGGCUAAGAGAUCAAUGAUCGACUUGUGUGUCUAUGUGGUGCCCCCCUCCCCCGUAUAUAAAGGAGUGAAGGAGGGGGAGGGGCCUGUUGGGGAACAUAGCAGAAUUUUAAAAUUUUCUACGCAUCACCAAGAUCAAUCUGGAGUCAUCUAGCAACGAGGGAGAGGGGACUGCAUCUACAUACCCUUGUAGAUCGCGAGCGGAAGCGUUCAAGAGAACGGGGUUGAUGGAGUCGUACUCGUCGUGAUCCAAAUCACCGAUGACCUAGCGCGAACGGACGGCACCUCCGCGUUCAACACACGUACGGUUGGGGAAGACGUCUCCUCCUUCUUGAUCCAGCAGCGGGAAGGAGAGGUUGAUGGAGAUCCAGCAGCACGACGGUGUGGUGGUGGAAGCAGCAGUGAUCUCGGCAGGGCUUCGCCAAGCUCCAAUGAGUGAGAGAGAGAGAGGUGUUACAAGGGGAGAGGGAGGCGCCAGGGACUUGGGUGCGGCUGCCCUCUCUCCUGAAUCGUUGUUGUCCUAAUGCAAUAAAAGAGAGCAGGAGCGAGAGAGUAGGAUUGUAUCGGAAUGAGCAAGGGGGUUUUGCUUGCCUGGCACUUCUGAAGAUGAUAUAGCUCUUCAUCGGUGUCAUCGAUCACAUCGUCGAAACCACGUCUACUGAGAGGGGACAAACACCGGCAAACGAGAGGGAACACAAUCAAUGCAAUGCACAUUAUGAUGCAUGAUCAUGACAUGUCAAUAUGCUGUGAUUUGAGCUAAUGUAACUAAAACCAGAUUAGAUGAAGUUGGUUUGAACCAAAGAUUCAAAUUCAAAUCCAUAUGUGAUUAUUUAAAUUCCACUUAUUUGAUUUGACCUGAUCAGCAGGCAUAAGUUGUUCAAACAUGCAUGAUAAUGCCAUAAUCAGAUUCUUUGGAUUUUUCUGAUCAUUUUUCAUAUAUAAAUUAUUUGAUUUGGAGCUACAGUUGAUUUUCUAUGAUUUUUAGAAGUUUAGGAUAUUUUCUGAAAUAAAUAAAUCAUUUCUGAUUUAUUUAAAAUCCAGAAAACAGAUUACUGUGUCAGCAUGACAUUAGGGUGACAUUAGUAGGUCAACACACCAGGUCCAGGUCAAACCUGACCCGUGGGACCCGCACGUCAGUGUAAUAGGGCAGGGACAGAGGCUGACUGGUGGGUCCGGGUCAACGAUGACGUGGCAUGGUCAAACUGACAUGUGGGGCCGACUAUAUUAAUCUAAACUUAACAGGGAAUAAAACCCAACAUUAAUUAAGACAUGGGACCCAUAGUCAGUGAGAGAGGGGGUUCGUUAGUGGCGUCAUUAGCCACUAAUGACGGCGCCACGUCGGCGUGGCCGGAGUUAAACCGCCAGCGACCUUCCCGUGCGGCGGAGUCCACACGGGACGGCGCUACAGGAGGUGGUUGAGCGAGAGAAGAGCACAGGGAGGAGGCCCUUGCUCGCGCGCAUCCAGUGGAGUAGGUGGGAGGUCGCGGGGUGGUCGGAGCUCGCCGGAAGUGGGCUCGCGGCGGCGCCGGAGUUCGGGUGAGUGUGGGGUUGGCGAUGUGGUGCACGGGAGGGUGAGUUAGCAUGUGAGUUAGGCUCCUGGUGGCUUCCUGAGCGUGGUGACGCGCUCCGAAUCGAGCUCAAGCGACUGCAGUGACGGCGGCGACAUGGCCGGCGGCAGGAGUUAUCGGCUCCGAUGGCCGUGGUGGUUAGAGGACGCGGACGAGCGCGGGGAGAGAGGGGAAAGGGGCAGGUGCUCACUGGGAGUCGCAGGAGCUGGUCGUCGGGCUCGGGGGCGACUUGACGGCGAUGGAUCGACGACGAAGAACGGCGUCAACCGAGGUUGAAGACAGAGGCGAAGACGGCGUUUGGUGGCGUUUGGAGUCGCGUGAGUCAAUAGAGAGGCAUCAGCGACGGUGGUGGAGCUCCUGGGCAUGUCGGAGAGGCGAGGGUGUGGCUCUGGGCACGAUGGCAGAGAACGGCGGCGGCGGUCGCUCUUGGGUGAGCUCGGGGAAGAGGCUAGAGGGCGAAGGAGAGAGCAGAGAGUGAGGGAAGAGGCAGAGGGGGCUGCGGGGCGUCUCUAGACGCGGGGUCAGGGAGAGGGACGGGCCUCCAGCGCGAAGCAGGAGGUGGCCGUAGCUGCGCGUGUGUCGACACGCACCUGCUCCUACUGGCAGGAGGAAGACGACGCGGUGACGGUAGGUGGGCUGGACCAGGUAGGUGGGCCGCCAGGUGGGUGCGGGUAAGAGACCCGGUGGCCUUUCAUUUUUCUUUUGUUUCUGUUUUUCUAUUCUGUUUUUCUGUUUUGUUUUGUUUUGCCACUGUUUAAACUCAAAACAAAUUCAAAUCAGUGCCAAAACUUUCUAUAAAUACCUAUGUGGCUUAUAUGGACUUUUCCAAGUGCACACAAAUAUUUCUGAUACAUUUGAAAAUAUAUUCUAUAUAUUAGAAAUAUAAAUUCAAAUUCAAAUACAAUAUGAUUUAAUUUCAGUGCCCAAAAUAUUCCUUAAAAAUGUUCAAUAUUUUUGGUUUGGAUCCAAAGCCUUGCCAAAAUUAGCAAACAUUGAUGAAGGGUACUUUGGUUCAUUGAAAGCAUUUUUUACUAGACCUAAUUGAAUUUCAAAGUGCUAGGGUUUAAUCAAUCCCCAUUUCAAAUUCAAAUAUAAUUUAAACAUGGUGCAACAAGAUGCAAAACACCAGGCACUACCAGAAGCUAGGGAUGUGACAACUCACCCCCACUAAACAAGAAUCUCGUCCCGAGAUUCAAGACGUGAGGUAAGUAGAAAGAGGGGACACAAAGAUAACACGAUCUCAUGAUCCAAAUUGUCCUUCUCGAAGAUGUUGAUUUAUUCCUUCAAAUUGAUCUUGACGUCCUUGCUUUUGAUAUCUUCAUCCAACUAUGAUGAGGGAACAGAGGAAACUCGACAGAAUUCGAUCUUCACAAAGAUCAAGCGAUACACAAUCAACUCAUGGAAUGAGGCGAAAGAACGUCUCUUGAGCCGAGACACAAGUCACACAUCAGGAGGGUGAUGGAGAAGCAGAUGACGAAGGUUCAAUUUGGUAGGCAACAAUCCCACGCUUGAAAGGAUGGUGGAUGCAUUUCAAAUUAACAAGGAGCUAAAUUGCCAUGAUUCCAUAACGGGGCACCUAGAGUAGGUGGCUCGUUGAAUUAUUCCCUUAAGUGGCAAAAAGAAUUACUUUUGAUCCAUAGACCAUUGGAACUCUUCAUACCAGCCCGAGGCAAUUCGCAAUUGAUCGUUUGGCGGAGUAAGUAGGGAUGGCAUACCCAGACUAGAAUGGAUGAUGUGGACUACCUUGUUGAAGACAACGCAAGGGAUGAUUUUGCUUGCGCGUGCUCUCAAGAACUUGAGCAUUUCCAUAUUCAUCAAGGUUCUACCAACAUCCGUGCCGAGGAUCCUGGCAACACAUCUUACUACCAUGAUGAAUAGUGAUGGUCAAUGCAGAUACAAAGGAGGGCAACACUUUCUCAGAUUUCACCUUAGCGAUGCCAAGGAAACGAAAUCUAGAUGUUCGACUGAGAGACAUUUAGCACUCCGCUUCUAAUGUUCUCCUUGAUGUGCUAGCGUAACCCAUUUAUAGAUAUGGUUUGGUAUCUUGAACAUCAAGUAAAAGGUCGGACUUCGGGAGCACAAGAAUCCAUAAGGAAUAACUACUGGAGUAAAUCCUACAAAAUCCUUACGGGGAGGUGGCCAACUUCCUCAAUCAAGAUACUACAAUGAUAGGUCUUCCGGCUGGGUGUGUUGGCCACGAUAUCCACCUUACCAGUUUAGAAAGACCAACAUUAUAAUUCCUGGGAAAAGGUCCAACCAUCAUAUCUGCCUGAGAUUCAGAUCUGGUUGUUGUCAGGAUAUUCCAGACUCAUCAAGUCUAGAGAGAAAAACGAAAGUUUGCAACACAAGUUGACGAGAUGACGUUGCAGGAUUCUCGGGAAAUAGACUAUGGUGGUAAGCUCCAAAACAUGAGCCAGUUCUGCUACAAACAUGUGAACACGCUGUCCCAGACAAGCAUGACCACGUAGUAGUCUUACAACGAAACACUAUCAAGUUCAGGUGGGAACCAUCAUUGUGGAUAACAAAGUCCUUGAUUAAGCCCGGGUUAGCUCUUAAAAAGGAACUUCUUAUCCUUGAACUAAUCAAUCAGUGGCUUGGUGUGCUAGGAACACCUAUGGAGUGGAGGUAAUUAAUCUACCAAACCAUAGAGUACUUCGCACGAAUGCAUGACUGACUUGGAAUGAUUCGAAAGGAAACAAAACAAACCUUUCUCAAAUUCAUGGCGGCAACUUACACCUAAUGCACGUGAACUGGGAGAAGGUCACUUCUUUCGUCCAAGCAUAAGCUUCAUGAACGGAACACGAAGGCAUUGCUUACAAAGUUUUCAACACCAGGUUGAUGUUCAACAUGAAUCAUGGGGGAGACAAAAUGCUGCUGAUGGGCUCAACAGCAACUCAUCGGAAUUUCCAUAUCACUGGACUUCCACCAUCAUGUGAACACGGUGAUAGCAUUGGUCAGACCAAAGGAUGUAAUAGUGUAUGCUCGAGGAAUCAACCUCGAGUAAGACAACAUUACGAACAUCGUUGGUUCUGAUUUGAUUUUAGGAUAGCCCACACUCAAAACAAAGUUUGGACAAGACAAUAGAUCCAACAAGUGAUCAUGAGGACCAAUCGAUGAAGAUAUAAUCUUUCUUCAACACACACACACAAAAGAUAUCCCUUGACACGAACUAAGUCAGACAAGCUUUUAUCUUCCAACUCUCCAAGUUGUCGUUUAGCUUAACCAACUAGCUCAGGGGUAUGCAACACAGAUUCUGGGAGAAAGGGUGGUUACAAGAAACCAACUUGAUCACGAACUCAACAUAGCGAUCAGGUGACAACCUGGUAACACUUCCGAGAAGACAUUUGGAAAAUCACGAACCACCGAAAUGUUAUUAAGCUCGGGAGCAAUCUUGCUUUUGAGGCAAGAUGAUAUGAUUAAAUAAGAAAGGGAUUGAAUAAUCCUAACUCAUUGAUCAAAGAGUGCACCAGAAAUAAGGACUAGGUAGCACGAUCAAUCUUAGGAUGAUGAUUUAAUAACCAACACGCUAAGAAUGAAUUAUUGUCCAUCAACUACCAAGCAACGGGGUUGCUAGGAGUAUUGAUUUCACACAUCAUAGUUCACUUGUCGGCAUUCCGGUUACAACAACACGGGAUCGAAGAAUGAAUAAUGAUGGCGAGAAGUAUCACUGCAUCAAGAAUUCAUAAGAUGUGGUGCAAUUCUCAUGACACUCUUGACGUUAAGAUGGUAACACUCCAAGGUAGAACAGAACAAAAGCUGGAAUUGCUAUUUGAUCUGCAGAGUACAACUACUUUGACCCAAUCCUGGAUAUGGAUGAGGUACUUGAGUUUGUUUCUCCUAGUCAAUCUGAAUAGGAUGGCUUGACGGGCCACAAGAAUAAUAGACGUCGAUGAACACGAAUGCACAACUAGUCCUGACUAUCAAUUGAUAGAUGAGGGUCAGAAAACAACGGAGGAGGAAGAACUCGAAUGAACAUAUAUCUUUCUGAGUUGUGGAUGCAUAGAUUAAUAUGUCGAACCAAGUUCAACAGGUUUCUUCCAGAUAACCCAUGCAGGAAGGUAGAACUGGCAGAAUCACAAUUAUGAAUGGAGAACUCCUCAAGAGUACUCUGAUUGUGAUAUUUCGGUUCGAAGAACUUCUGCCUUAAUGGUUCAUGGUAUUUGGAAGAAAGAAAUACCACAGACCUCGAGGACUGUCGCAAGGUUACUAAUAUCCUAAGGAAUGAGCAAACACCAUCAUCAGAAGGUAAGUAGGGUGAAUCUCGGGUUCAAGAACCCAGAAAUAGAAUACCUACUACUAAAUGGCAUCAUGGGAUGCUUUCGAGAAUGGUGGCCAGAAUCAUCACACUGGGAACAUUAAGCAUUGCUAGAUUACUGGGUGGUUCUCUAGGACACCUAGGGUCAUAAUAAUAGCUUCAACAUAUAUAUCGAGGCAAUGGAGUACCUCAGCACACUAGUUGGUGUGACUAAUCUGGCCCAAAUAGACAUCAGGAACAUGGAGGAAUGAUUGCAAGUGCAUCAGACUAUCUAGAAACCUAGGAUGACUCGGAUAGCAUAAUGGCUGUAAAUGCUCAAAAAGAUUGGGACAUUCUGCAAAAAUGGUGGCAUAACCACUCAGAGUCACAAUAUCAAGGUUUCGAGAUCAACUGUCAACAUACUGAAGUAGUAGAAACUGAACUGAGGCUUGGAACCAACAAUACUAUAAGAGUCUACGGAUUAGCAACACGUGAACCUGAUAGAAAGAAUAGAAAGCCUAGUUUCCUUAACCCCGUAAGAAAGAUAGGAUGACUCGGAUCAGAAGGGCAUGAGGUAAAGGAAUAAAAAGAGCCUUAUGUUCCCUUCCACAAUCAAUUCCCUUAUAUAGCUAAAGCAUUUCUAGACACGACUUCGACCAGUUUGGCUUGGUAAUCCUACAGGCAGUCAGGCUCUGAUACCAAAGCUGUCAGAACCCCGAUUCCAAAUCACAUCGAUCUAGCCGGUAACACCUCAUAUCACUUUGCGGCCUCACGCAUGGUAUUCCCACGGGUGUCGCCUUACCAUGGCCCGGGACCGUUUGCGCCUUUUGGCUCACGCAUAUGAUAGUGUCGCUAGCAUCCAUAUGACAGAGAACCCGGGCCGACAUGGCUAGUCGUGAACCCAAAGCGGCACCAACCUAUGGGGACAGGCAUACAUGAAUCACAUCGAGCAUGUCGGUCAGCAACGUGUGAAUCCAGGUUGUAGCACUGGGCUAACAGGACUCCAGGAACCCGGGCUGUAGCAGGCUAGGCAGGACUCCGGAUGUCUCCGCGUGACAUUUCCCCGAAGGGACAGACACAGGAAUGAAGUGAAAUACAUGCCGGCCAGUCAAGUGUCCUGAGCAGUAGUGCUGGGCUAGCAAGACUCCGGUGAACCGGGCUGUAGCGGACUACUAUGGCUCAUGGAAGCACUAGACUACAUUUCCCCAUAAGAGAGGCUGCCAAGGAUAAACAACUAGAUUGUCGGACCCCACACAUACCAAGCAUUUCAAUCAUACACACAAUAUGCUCGAUAUGUGUAAAUACAACAUGGCAUCACAACAUAACUCUACGACUCAAGUAUUUAUUCAUUAGGCUCCGAGGAGCGAGAUAUUACAAACAUGGGUCUCAUGACCCAACAAUCAUAGCAUACAAAUCAAAGCACAUGCGGAAGCUUAACAUGUCUAAGUACAGACAUCUACAAAUGAAAAAGGCUAAGAAGCCUGACUAUCUACCAGAUCCUGCUGAGGGCACAAUAUCGUAGUUGAGCUAUCAAGCUAAACGUCGAAGUCCACACGGAACUACUAGCGAGACUGAAUUCUCUCUGCAAAACAUAAAUUAAGCAAACAUGAGUACAAAAGUACUCAGCAAGACUUACAUCAGAAUUAGCUACAUAUGCAUCGGCAUCAACAAAGGGAUGGUGGGGUUUAACUGCAGCAAGCCAGCUUUGACUCAGUGGCUAACCUGAACUACGACUGCAAGCAACUCUUUUGAGGUGGCGCACAUGAGUCCACAUAUUCACCAUAUCAAUACACCACUAUGGAUCCGCUCCCGUCUACCUACGAGAACGCCAUCCAUAGCACUCACGCUUAUCUUACGCAUUUUAGAGUAUCCACUCCCACUUGUCUAUGAACUGUUAUAGGCAACCCAGAAGUCCUUUACCGCGGAUGCGGCUAUUCGAAUAGUUUUAUACCCUGCAGGGGUGUACUUCGUCACACAUGUUUCCACCACUUAGCGUCUGCACAUGACAUGUGCUCGGCAGACUUCAAGCGAAAGCCGACGUGGGUGUAGACCACGACCUGACUAACCGAACAAGUCUCUAGUCCAGGUUUAUCGCCUAUUCGGGUUCCAUCCGCAAGGAAAUCCGGCUGGGGUGUCCUCAACGGCCCCAAACGAUGUGUACAGGUUCCCGAGACGCCAAACGGGCGCCCGGCAUACCCGGCCACGGUGUAUCUACCGCAUCAUAGCCCACCCCUAGGGUCAGCGCUACGCACAGCCGCCAACACAUAACCUAUAAACACCAGAAACUAGUUGCAACUCCUGGACAGAGGACGAGAGGGGUUAGUAAGUCGAGCGGGGUCAUAUUUCAGGGCUCAAUGUGUGGUAGUAGCUAUUUCAUGGAUCACAAACAUAGAACUCAGUUCCUAAGGACGGCUUCAAUGAAACAACCCACCAUGUACUCCUACAUGGCCUCUCAUCAAUACCUUUACCAAAUCAUGUUCACACACUUAGCUCUCAACAGUAAGACAUGUUCACACACCUCCGAUUCAUCCCCGAUGAAUCAGACCUGACACAACUCUAUGCAAUAGCAGGCAUGACAAACAAGCAUGAAUGAGUAGGCACAUCAGGGCUCAAACAACUCCUACUCAUGCUAGUGGGUUUCAUCUAUUUACUGUGGCAAUGACAGGUCAUGCAGAGGAUAAGGGGUUCGACUACCGCAGCAAGUAACAGAUGAAUCGGUGUUGUCCUAAUGCAGUAAAAGAGAGCAGGAGCGAGAGAGUGGGAUUGUAUCGGAAUGAGCAAGGGGGUUUUGCUUGCCUGGCACUUCUGAAGAUGAUAUAGCUCUUCAUCGGUGUCAUCGAUCACAUCGUCGAAACCACGUCUACUGAGAGGGGACAAACACCGACAAACGAGAGGGAACACAAUCAAUGCAAUGCACAUUAUGAUGCAUGAUCAUGACAUGUCAAUAUGCUAUGAUUUGAGCUAAUGUAACUAAAACCAGAUUAAAUGAAGUUGGUUUGAACCAAAGAUUCAAAUUCAACUCCAUAUGAGAUUAUUUAAAUGCCACUUAUUUGAUUUGACCUGAUCAGUAGGCAUAAGUUGUUCAAACAUGCAUGAUAUGUAACGCCCUCGAUGCGGCUAUAGCUCCCACGUGUCGAGGCACGACUUAGAGGCAUAACCGCAUUGAAAGCAAUGUCGCAAGUCAGGCAAUCAUUACAACAUCCCAUGUAAUACAUAAUAAAGGGGGAGAUAACAUAGUUGGCUUACACUCGCCACGUCACAUCAGAGUACAUAAAUAACAUCCAUCAAACAAGCACUCAUGGCCCGACUACGGCGCCAAAAUAGAAAAGACCCCCAACAUGCGACAAGGUCCUGAAUCGAUAACCCCAACUAGGCACCACUACUGAUCAUCCGGAAAAGAUACGUAGUAUCGCUGAGAGUCCUCGUCGAACUCCCACCUGAGCUCGUAAUCGUCAACUGGAGCAGAAUCACCUGGACCUGCAUCUGGAGUAGUAGUAUCUGUGAGCCACAGGGACUCAGCAAUCUCACACCCACGCGAUCAAGACUAUUUAAGCUCAUAGGAAUGGAUAAGGCCAAUAUGUGUGGAGCUGCAGCAAGCGACUAGCAUAUGUGGUGGCUAACUUAUACGCAAAAGAGAGCGAGAAGAGAAGGCGAAGCUCGAGCGAGAAGCUAAAGGAACAUCCUGCGCAAGCAUAACUCCAACACCGUGUCCACUUCCCGGACUCCACCGAGAAGGGGCCAUCACGGUAACACACACGGUUGAUUCAUUUUAAUUAAGUUUAAUUAAAGUUAUCUACAACCGGACAUUAACAAAUUCCCAUCCGCCCAUAACCGCGGGCACGGCUUUCGAAAGAUCAAUCCCUGCAGGGGGGUCCCAACUUAGCCCAUAACAAGCUCUCACGGUCAACGAAGGAAUAGACCUCCACCCAAGACACACCGAUCAGACUCGGUAUCUCGGUACAACAAGAUGAUUCGGCAGGUUAAAACAAGUCCAGCAACACCGCCCGAAUGUGCCGACAAAUCCCGAUAGGAGCUGCACAUAUCUCUUUCUCAGGGCACGCUCGGAUAGGUCAAGCUACGAGUAAAACCAAACCUCAAGUUUCCCCGAGGUGGCCCCGCAGGCUGCCUGGUUCGGACCAACACUCAGAGGAGCACUGGCCCGGGGGGUUAAAAUAAGAUGACCCUCGGGCUCCGGAAACCCAAGGGAAAAAGAGGCUAGGUGACAAAUGGUAAAACCAAUGUUGGGCAUUGCUGGAAAAGCUUUAAUCAAGACGAACUAUCAAGGGGUUCCCAUUAUAGCCCAACCGCGUGAGGGACGCAACAAUCCGGGAACAUAACACCGAUAUGACGGAAACUAGGGCGGCAAGAGUGGAACAAAACACUAGGCGAGAGGCCGAGCCUUCCACCCUUUAUCAAGUAUAUAGAUGCGUUAAGAUAACAUAGCAAUAUAAUGAUAUCCCAACAAGCAAUAUAAAUGUACCAACAAGGAACGGCUCCAAUCUUCACCUGCAACUAACAACGCUAUAAGAAGGGCUGAGCAAGCGGUAACAUAGCCAAUCAAUGGUUUGCUAGGACAAAGGUGGGUUAGAGGUUCAACAUGGCAAUUGGGAGGCUGACAAGCAAAAGGUAGGCAUCGAAGCAGUGGCAAGCAAAAGAGCGAGCAAACUAGCAUAGCAAAGAUAGUAGUGAUUUCGAGGGUAUGAUCAUCUUGCCUGCACAGUUGUCAGAGUUGACUGGAUCCUCACAAGCAAACUCAACGGGCUCCUCGGUAGCAAACUCGUCUCCCGGCUCUACCCAACAAGACAAACAAGCAACAAGGAUACAAUCAACCACGGGCAAGACCAAGCAAUAUGAUGAAAUGACGAUAUGCUAUGCGGGAUGCGAUGCGGGAUGCAAAAUGCAAGAUAUGACAGGAAAUGCAUGAACCUGGCAUCAACUUGGAAAACCAAGUGUGCCACUGGAUAGAGGGGAUGAAAUCGCUUGAAAACGAUAUAAAGAUCAUAGGAAUCGGAGCUAUGGUUUGGAAAUGGCAAGCGUUUUAAGAUAUGACACCGGUCUGCGAUUUACAGCAAGUAGGCAUCUAAAUGCAACGAAAAGAACAUGCUACAGCCACCAAACAUGAAAACAAAAUAUAUGGCAGUGAUGUACACAAGAUGGUUGACAAAACACUAGCACUGAGCCAUAGGCAAAUUCAUCCAUUAAGAGGUUCAAACAAGCAUGGCUAAAACGCAAAUGCAAAACAGAUUUCAGACUUAGUGAAAUUAACACUAGUCUGAAAUUUCAGAUCACGAAGCCCUCUUCGAAGCAGCAAACAACAUGAUAGAAAACCUGAACAUGACAAGUAAGAACAUGGCAUGGAGCUACUCAACAAGCUUAACAAAACACCCAAAGUGACCUGGGGCCAAAAGGGUUCACAAAAUACUCUACCGAGCUCACGAACAUCGCUCGAACACAAUCAGUUUUUAGACUUAGAGAAAACUGAGACAUGCUGAAAUUUAACUCACGAAGGCAUGUAAACGAGCUCGAUGCACUCACUACGGUGCAAGUCAUGGCAAGGAAAUCAUAUCACCAGCAAGAAGGCACAAAGUGCUAGCUACACAUGGCAAGAACGAAGGCAUAGCAUGCAUGGAACGUUAACGGUAGCAUCGGCGAAAUCGCAAACAAGUUGACGAUCUGCCCAGAUUAACAAUGAAGCAAAAGUUGAGCUCGAUUGAGUCAACCUAGAGCACUCCACAAAUGCAAACAAAGACAUGGAUGGAUAGAGCAUAACAUAAGUAUCAAAACUCCCUUACUGAUCAUCCUCAAAAGAGGCACGGAUCACUAGGAAACAAGCUGGACAUAUAGCAUCAUGAACUAAAAUAUCCCAGACUUAGUGAAAAUCACUAAGUCCCUGAAAUCUGCAUUCUCAGGUACCCUACUUCGCAAGCUUGCACAAGACAACACACACAUCCUAAAAAUGCAUGGGUGGCACCUCUGGAAAGAAGACAAAAUGCUUCACAAUACAUCCCAAAGGGGCACAGGCAUAUCAUGCACGAAUUAAAUAUAGCAAAAAUGACAAAAGUGCAUGAUGAACUAACGGAUCUGCAAUUUAACUCACGAAGCCUACUUCUAACAGCAUUUUGGGUAUCAAGAUGACCUCAAAUGCAAAUGAUGCAAUGGAAUGAAAUGAUGUACAUGUCGAGACGAAGAUUUUGAUAUAUCAUACGCCCAAAACGGGGCUACGGUUGUGGAGAUACAAGCAGUCAAAGAUAGCACGAAAAUUAGGGUUUCGGGGGAGAGAGGUCAACCGAAAUAUCCCAGAUCCAGAUCUGGAUCGGGCACGGACUCCGAGGCGGCGGCGGGGAACACUGUAGCUGGCCGGACUUGGCCGCCGGAGUCGCGGGAGGAGGCGGCCGGGGCGNNNNNNNNNNNNNNNNNNNNNNNNNNNNNNNNNNNNNNNNNNNNNNNNNNNNNNNNNNNNNNNNNNNNNNNNNNNNNNNNNNNNNNNNNNNNNNNNNNNNNNNNNNNNNNNNNNNNNNNNNNNNNNNNNNNNNNNNNNNNNNNNNNNNNNNNNNNNNNNNNNNNNNNNNNNNNNNNNNNNNNNNNNNNNNNNNNNNNNNNNNNNNNNNNNNNNNNNNNNNNNNNNNNNNNNNNNNNNNNNNNNNNNNNNNNNNNNNNNNNNNNNNNNNNNNNNNNNNNNNNNNNNNNNNNNNNNNNNNNNNNNNNNNNNNNNNNNNNNNNNNNNNNNNNNNNNNNNNNNNNNNNNNNNNNNNNNNNNNNNNNNNNNNNNNNNNNNNNNNNNNNNNNNNNNNNNNNNNNNNNNNNNNNNNNNNNNNNNNNGGGUGUAUAUAUAGGCAUAGAGGGAGCUAGGAGAGUCCAAAUGAGGUGCGGUUUUCGCCCACACGAUCGUGAUCGAACGCUCUAGGACAUGGAGCAGAGUUUGGUGGGUUUUGGGCCAAAUUUGGGGGGUGUUGGGCUGCAACACACACGAGGCCUUUUCGGUCCCUCGGUUAACCGUUGGAGUAUCAAACGAAGUCCAAAUGACCCGAAACUUGACAGGCGGUCUACCGGUAGUAAACCAAGGCCGCUUGGCAAGUCUCGGACCAAUCCGGAAAUGUUUAAUCCCCACACGAGAAAGAAAGGUAGAAAUGACCACCGGAGGAGAACGAAACGCCGGAAUGCAAAACGGACAACGGGGAAAAUGCUCGAAUGCAUGAGAUGAACAUGUAUGCAAAUGCAAUGCACGUGAUGACCUGAUAUGAGAUGCAUGAAAACGAAAACAACACACACGAAGACAAAGACCCAACCCGAGAAAUAAAUAUAACUUAGCGCCGGAGACGGCAAGAGUUGGAUACAAAUAUGGAAAGUUACAUCUGGGGCGUUACAUGAUAAUGCCAUAAUCAGAUUCUUUGGAUUUUUCUGAUCAUUUUUCAUAUAUAAAUUAUUUGAUUUGGAGCUACGGUUGUUUUUCUACGAUUUUUAGAAGUUUAGGAUAUUUUCUGAAAUAAAUAAAUCAUUUCUGAUUUAUUUAAAAUCUAGAAAAUAGAUUACUGUGUCAACAUGACAUCAGGGUGACAUCAGCAGGUCAACACACUAGGUCCAGGUCAAACCUGACUCGUGGGACCCGCACGUCAGUGUAAUAGGGCAGGGACAGAGGCUGACUGGUGGGUCCGGGUCAACGAUGACGUGGCAUGGUCAAACUGACAUGUGGGGCCGACUAUAUUAAUCUAAACUUAACAGGGAAUAAAACCCGGGGUUAAUUAAGACAUGGGGCACAUAGUCAGUGAGAGAGGGGGUUCGUUAGUGGCGUCAUUAGCCACUAAUGACGGCGCCACGUCGGCAUGGCCGGAGUUAAACCGCCAGCGACCUUCCUGCGCGGCGAAGUCCACACGGGACGGCGCUACAGGAGGCGGCUGAGCGAGAGAAGAGCACAGGGAGGAGGCCCUUGCUCGCGCGCAUCCAGCGGAGUAGGUGGGAGGUCGCGGGGUGGUCGGAGCUCGCCGGAAGUGGGCUCGCGGCGGCGCUGGAGUUCGGGUGAGUGCGGGGUUGGCGCUGUGGUGCACGGGAGGGUGAGUUAGCGUGUGAGUUAGGCUCCUGGUGGCUUCCUGAGCGCGGUGACGAGCUCCGAAUCGAGCUCAAGCGACUGCAGUGACGGCGGCGACAUGGCCGGCGGCAGGAGUUAUCGGCUCCGAUGGUUGUGGUGAUUAGAGGACGCGGACGGGCGCGGGGAGAGAAGGGAAAGGGGCAGGUGCUCACUGGGAGUCACAGGAGCUGGUCGUCGGGCUCGGGGGCGACUUGACGGCGAUGGAUCGACGACGAAGAACGGCGUCAACCGGGGUUGAAGACGGAGGCGAAGACGGCGUUCGGCGGUGUUUGGAGUCGCGUGAGUCAACAGAGAGGCGUUGGAGACGGUGGCGGAGCUCCUGGGCAUGUCGGAGAAGCGAGGGGGUGGCUCUGGGCACGGUGGCAGAGAACGGCGGCGGCUGUCGCUCUCGGGUGAGCUCGGGGAAGAGGCUAGAGAGCAAAGGUGAGAGCAGAGAGUGAGGGAAGAGGCAGAGGGGGCUGCGGGGCGUCUCCACACGCGGGAUUAGGGAGAAGGAUGGGCCUCCAGCGCGAAGCAGGAGGUGGUCGUAGCUGUGCGUGCAUCGACACGCACCUGCUCCUACUGGCAGGAGGAAGACAACGCGGUGAGGGUAGGUGGGCUGGACCAGGUAGGUGGGCCGCCAGGUGGGUGCGGGUAAGAGGCCCGGUGGCCUUUCAUUUUUCUUUUGUUUCUGUUUUUCUAUUCUAUUUUUCUGUUUUGUUUUGUUUUGCCACUGUUUAAACUCAAAACAAAUUCAAAUCAGUGCCAAAACUUUCUGUAAAUACCUAUGUGGCUUAUAUGGACUUUUCCAAGUGCACACAAAUAUUUCUGAUACAUUUGAAAAUAUAUUCUAUAUAUUAGGAAUAUAAAUUCAAAUUCAAAUACAAUGUGAUUUAAUUUCAGUGCCCAAAAUGUUCCUUAAAAAUGUUCAAUAUUUUUGGUUUGGAUCCAAAGCCUUGCCAAAAUUAGCAAACAUUGAUGAAGGGUACUUUGGUUCAUUGAAAGCAUUUUUACUAGACCUAAUUGAAUUUCAAAGUGCUAGGGUUUGAUCAAUCCCCAUUUCAAAUUCAAAUAUAAUUUAAACAUGAUGCAACAAGAUGCAAAACACCAGGCAGUACCAGAAGCUAGGGAUGUGACAGUACGUUACUUGACCGAGAUUCGAUCGUCGGUAUCCCAAUACCUCGUUCAAUCUUGUUACCGGCAAGUCACUUUACUCAUACCGUAAUGCAUGAUCCCGUGACCAAACACUUGGUCACAUUGAGCUCAUUGUGAUGAUGCAUUACCAAGUGGAUCCACAGAUACCUCUCCGUCAUACGGAGUGACAAAUCCCAGUCUCGAUCCGUGUCAACCCAACAGAUACUUUCGGGGAUACCUGUAGUAUACCUUUAUAGUCACCCAGUUACGUUGUGACGUUUGGUACACCCAAAGCACUCCUACGGCAUCCGGGAGUUACACGAUCUCAUGGACUAAGGAAAUGAUACUUGACAUUGGAAAAGCUCUAGCAAACGAACUACACGAUCUUGUGCUAUGCUUAGGAUUGGGUCUUGUCCCUCACAUCAUUCUCCUACUAAUGUGAUCCCGUUAUCAAUGACAUCCAAUGUCCAUAGUCAGGAAACCAUGACUAUCUGUUGAUCAACGAGCUAGUUAACUAGAGGCUCACUAGGGACAUGUUAUGGUCGGCGUAUUCACACAUGUAUUAUGAUUUCCGGAUAACACAAUUAUAGCAUGAAUAAUAGAUAAUUAUCAUGAACAAGGAAAUAUAAUAAUAAUCAUUUUAUUAUUGCCUCUAGGGCAUAUUUCCAACAGUCUCCCACUUGCACUAGAGUCAAUAAUCUAGUUACAUUGUGAUGAAUCGAACACCCAUAGAGUUCUGGUGUUGAUCAUGUUUUGCUCGCGGAAGAGGUUUAGUCAACGGAUCUGCGACAUUCAGAUUCGUAUGUACUUUGCAAAUAUCUAUGUCUCCAUCUUGAACAUUUUCACGAAUGGAGUUGAAGCGACGCUUGAUGUGCCUGGUCUUCUUGUGAAACCUGGGCUCCUUGGCAAGGGCAAUAGCUCCAGUGUUGUCACAGAAGAGAGUGAUCGGCCCUGGCGCAUUGGGUAUGACUCCUAGGUCGGUGAUGAACUCCUUCAUCCAGAUUGCUUCAUGCGCUGCCUCCGAGGCUGCCAUGUACUCCGCUUCACAUGUAGAUCCCUCCACGACGCUUUGCUUGCAACUGCACCAGCUUACUGCCCCACCAUUCAAAAUAUACACGUAUCCGGUUUGUGACUUAGAGUCAUCCAAAUCUGUGUCGAAGCUAGCGUUGACGUAACCCUUUACGACGAGCUCCUCGUCACCUCCAUAUACGAGAAACAUAUCCUUAGUACUUUUCAGGUACUUCAGGAUGUUCUUGACCGUUGUCCAGUGUUCCAUGCCGGGAUUACUUUGGUACCUUCCUACCAAACUUAUGGCAAGGUUUACAUCAGGUCUGGUACACAGCAAGGCAUACAUGAUAGACCCUAUGGCUGAGGCAUAGGGGACGACACUCAUCUUUUCUCUAUCUUUGUCGGAGUAAUGGGCCACGGGUAGGCCAACCUGAGCCCCACGACCUUUCAAGACAUCGGGGCAGGCUGCGCCCCUCAGGACCACAGGGCGAAGAGCCGCCUCCUGGGGAGUCUACGGCAAGGCGACCAACUGCCCGCUCACGGCCGAGUCCCAGGGACGACUUCCAGAGAAGCCAGCUUUGGGGAGUCGGCCGGCGACUCCAACAAACCGAGACCUCAUCGAGGGGGACAGGGCAGGGGCGUGGCUAUAAUGAAGCCCACUCCCCGCCCCUUACCAAGUACAGGCAUGGCUACAGCGCGCCGUACUUGGGAAGAUCUCACCACGGCAUGGCACUGUUGCCCAGCCGGCCCUGACAUCAGCACCACUGUACCUGGUCCUGCGCCCAUGACGGCUUGUUUGUACGGCCUGGAGGCAGCAGGGCCCACCAGCCAGCGAGACCUCAGGAGACGGCGGGAGCACCGACAGUCAGACCCAACAGGAGUCGGCCCGGGGGAGUCGGCCGAGCCCUCCCCCGGGCCCACGCGCCAUUAAUCAAGAAGAGAUGGGGAGUGGCCAUAGUGAUCGCCCGCCAGGCGGCGGGGCUGUUGCCACGACCCCAUGACCAAGCUUGCAUCAUCAGGAGCAUGGCUACAGUGAUCAGCAGCCGGCAAGACCCGCCCGCGGCGGACACGGCCUGUCGGCUCUGUACCAGACCAGUCGGCGGGGCCCAUCAGUCGGCGGGCCCUAGCAAUCGGCGGAGAAGUCGGAGGUUGGAGACACUGACUGCUGGGCCCGCGCCCAGUCACAUUACCAUUGUACCCCUGGGGGUAGGCCUAUAUAAACCCCCUAGGGCACCCAUGCAAAGGGUUGGAUCCCAGUAGUUCUAUACCUCACCAGAUAGAGGGAGAGAGCUAGCCUUGCCCUCUCCUACCACCAUACACAGCUCAAGGAGCAACCGUGUAAACACUUGACAUAGUGAUCAUGCGAAGACCCCGCAGAGCAGCAGUAGGGGUAUUAUCUCCCCGGAGAGCGCCGAAGCUGGGUAAGAUUCGCCGGCGUGCAUGUCUUCGCCUCAUCCCGUUUCCAGUCACCAGCGACGUUCUACUCGCCCACACCAUGAUAAGCCAUCCGUUGGCAUAUGUCGCACCAAACCCCCGACAUUUGGCGCCCACCGUGGGGCAUGGUGCACCGCCGUCCGGAGAUCUGUUCUGGACGGGAACCCUUUUCCUCCCUGGCGAGCGCAGCCAGCCAGGCACGCCAGACGAAGUUUGCAUCGACGUGCUGCGUGGCAUGGAGAUCGCCUGCGCAGGCAGCUCCUUGGCCGAACUUGUCGGUGAGGUCCGCCUCUCCGACGAACCUGUGUCCGACGCAGGCGUAGGCGGCCCCGAAAACCUCCUCGCGGGCCUCCUCAAUCAACUCCACGUUUCCGGCGAGCCUGCCGUAGACUUGGAGUCCGUAGGCUCCACCGACCCGAUGCUGGUCGACUCCGACACCGCGUCGGUCGAUGCUUUCCCCUCCAACAUGGUGGUCUACGACGAACCUCUCCCCCACGCGGAGAGCGACGGGAGCACCAUCACUGAGGUGCUGGUCAUCAGUCAUGACGAGUUCGCUGGUGGAAGGGCGCCCGACUCACUCUGCGCGGCGCUGCAAGACCUAGUUGCGCCCAUUCCAGAAGAUGCUGACGCAGAGACGUUAGAAGCGCGCCGCCUUCAGCUUGUUGAAGGCGCGAAGAAGCUAGCCAGCAUGAGAUGCUUGUCAGAAGCUUACCAGCGGGAGAUGGAUCGGGCUGUUGGUGGCUCGCCGGCUCUAGCAGGGCCCGGCCGCCUUGGCGCGGUUCAGUAGCGCGACGUAGCCAUCGCCAGCCUGUUUGGGGCUAGCCGCCCCGUGUACGCCACGCCAGUGGAGAACAUCCGAGCCGCCCAGGCAGCGGCGGAUGAGCUGGACAAUUUCGAGGGCGAAGAGCGCCGCCUCAUGAUGGAGCGAGUCCAGCGGCUCCUCGACGCGGCCGCCGCGCAGAACAAGGCCGUGUGCCGCACGGAGGCGCCGCAGCGGCCAAACGACGACCCGCACUGAGAUCAAGGCGCGACGUCUCGGACGCCGACUAGCGGCACCCGAGGAAGGAAGGACAAGGAGCCGGCUGUCAGCCACAGUCAGACUCAGAUUACCAUAGAGCGCGACCGAGACGGCCGCCCGAGAGCAGUGGAACAACGGGACGACUGUCUGCCUCCCCCUCCCCGCAAGGAGAGGCGGGUCUCCCCGCCGCCUGUUGACCAUCCGACUCUCGGUGACCGCCUUGGCCACCGAGAGGGAGUUGGGGAGAAUGACGCCCGCCACCGGAUCGACCGACUUCACCGGUCCCUGGCGCUGGAAGAAGAAGACGAGCUGGGUCCGCCUUGUUUCGGGUCCCGCAUUCGGGAUGAGCCCUUUCCCAGAGGGUUCACGCUCCCAAGAGACACGCCCAAGUAUACCGGCUCCGUGAAGCCGGAAGACUGGCUAGUCGACUACUCCACGCCUGUCAGCAUAGCAAAUGGCAACAAGCGUGUCGUCAUAAAGUACGUUCCACUCAUGCUCCAGGGCACGGCCUGGACAUGGCUGAACAGCCUAAAGCCCCGCAGCAUCAACAGCUAGGUCGACUUCACCAAAGCAUUCGUUCGCAACUUCACCAGCACGUACAAGCGUCCUCCCAAGCCUCGCCAGCUCUCCCUAUGUGUGCAAGGUCCUGAUGAGUCGACUCGCGACUACCUCAUGCGUUGGGCUGAACUCCGGAACUCCUGCGAGGGCGUGCACGAGGUGCAGGCCAUCGAGUACUUCACAGCCGGGUGCCGAGAAGGCACCCUCCUCAAGCACAAGCUCCUAUGCGACGAGCCAGAAACCCUUGAUGAGCUACUGAUCAUAGCGGACAAGUACGCUACGGCCGACUCCUCCAUGAAGACAGAAAUUCAAAUCAACACGACUGGCAAAGUAGCUCCUCAGGCUCCAAGAACUCCGGCAGCAGACGCCAGCCGGCGACAAUAGCAGGGUGACCACAAGCGCAAGGCCCCGCAGCCGGCUUCCAGCAGCCGGCAGGUCGCGACAGUCGAAGCCCAGCAGCCAGAAGAGCAACCUCCGCCCAAGCGACAAAAAGGCGGCAAGCCGAACUGGUUGCUGGCCUUCUCCUAUGAGCAGACCUUGGAUGGACCUUGCAAGUUCCACAGCGGCGCGAAGCCACCGAAUCACACCACCCGGAAGUGCCACUGGCUCACCAGGAUCGCCAAGGGAGACGGCCUCCUGCCACCCCCGCCUGCUGGGCAGCCGCCUCCGCCUCCGCCCCAGCAGCCGGCAGUCAGGCCAGUCGGCGCAGUACAAGACGAGUACCCUGAAGAGCACGGAGCCUACAUGGUGUUCACCAGUGUGGCUGACAUCGACGCAGCAGGCGGCUGCAGCAACAAGAGGUGAACACGGUAGCCUCAGAGACGCCAGAGUUCAUGCACUGGUCAGAGAGGCCAAUCAGCUGGAGCAGGGCUGACCACCCAGAAGUGAUGCCGAGUCCGGGCUCCUACGCAUUGGUCCUGGACGCCACCUUUGCCACGGACAAACGGGCCGCGUGUUUCUCGCGAGUUUUGAUAGAUGGGGGCAGCAGCAUCAACAUCCUGUACAAGGACACCAUGGAGAAGUUAGGAAUCAAGCAGAGACAGCUUCAGAACAGCCGGACUGUGUUCCACGGCAUUGUUCCUGGGCUUUCCUGUUCACCAAUCGGCAAGAUCCUAAUUGACAUCCUCUUUGGGGACAAAGAUCACUUCCAAAGAGUCUGUUUGGUUUGAGGUGGUGGACCUUGAGAGCCCAUACCAUGCGCUACUUGGCCGGCCCGCCUUGGCCAAGUUCAUAGCGGUCCCCCACUACGCCUACCUCAAGAUGAAGAUGCCCAGUUCUAGGGGAAUUCUGACUGUGGCCGGCGACUACUGGAAGUCGUCCGCUUGCGCGGACGAGAGCAGUCGGCUGGCCGAGUCCCUGGUGAUCGCGGCCGAGAAGCGACUCCUUGAGCGAGCUGUGGCGAUGGUCGGCAAACAGCCAAAGAUAUCGCCCGACCCGUAGGAGUCAGAAGCCGAAGGUUCGUUCAAGCCGGCUAAAGAGACAAAGAAGAUACCCUUGGAUCCGGAACACCCAGAGAGGUACGCCGUCGUAGGUGCAAACCUCGACAGCAAAUAGGAAGGCGAGCUCGUCGAUUUCCUCCAUGAGAAUCAGGACAUCUUCGCAUGGUCUCCCAAACACAUGCCAGGUGUGCCAACGGAAUUCGCCGAGCACAAGUUACACGUUCGAUCUGAUGCAAAGCCGGUCAGGCAGCCCCUAUGCCGCUUAUCAGAAGAGAAGAGAAGAGUUGUCGGAGAAGAGAUAGCCCAACUCCUAGCAGCCGGCUUCAUUAUGGAAGUUUUCUUCCCGGAGUGGCUGGCAAAUCCAGUCCUGGUGCUAAAGAAGAACAAGCAAUGGCGAAUGUGUAUUGACUACACGAGCCUCAACAAGGCAUGCCCCAAGGACCCGUUUGCUCUGCCGAGAAUUGAUCAGGUGAUAGACUCCACAGCCGGAUGCGAGUUGUUGAGUUUCUUGGAUGCGUACUCAGGAUAUCAUCAGAUCAAGCUGAACCCGGCUGAUAGAUUGAAGACCGCCUUCAUCACGCUGUUUGGAGCAUUCUGCUACUUCACCAUGACGUUCGGCUUGAGGAAUGCCGGCGCCACCUUUCAGCGUUGCAUGCAGAAGUGCCUCCUCAAGAAGCUCGGUAGGAACGCCCACGUUUACAUGGACGACAUGGUGGUGAAGACGGAAAAGCGAGGAACAUUGCUGGAAGACCUCAAGGAGACCUUUGAGAACCUGCGCCGGUUCCAGAUCAAGCUCAACCCCGAGAAGUGUGUCUUCGGAGUACCAGCCGGCCAGCUGCUAGGUUUCCUGGUCUCUGAACGCGGCAUAGAAUGCAACCCAGUAAAAAUCAAGGCCAUCGAGAGAAUGGAGGUACCUAGCCGACUGAUGGAUGUGCAGAAGUUCACCGGCUGCUUGGUGUCCAUGAGCCGAUUCAUCAGUCGGCAGGGCGAGAAAGCUCUCCCCUUAUACCAACUCAUGAAGAAGACCACUUUUUUCGAGUGGAACCAUAAGGCGGACGAAGCUUUCCACCAGUUGAAGAACAUGAUGACUACUCCACCCGUCCUGGCGGCUCCGACUCCCAAGGAACCUAUGCUCCUGUACAUCGCUGCCACCAGCCAAGUAGUCAGCAUAGUCAUUGUAGUAGAGCGCAAGGAGGAAGGUAAGGCGCUACCUGUCCAGAGACCAGUAUAUUACCUGAGCGAGGUACUGUCGACCUCCAAGCAGAACUACCCCCACUACCAGAAGAUGUGCUAUGGCGUCCACUUUGCUGCCAAGAAAUUGAAGCCUUACUUUCAAGAACAUCCAAUCACGGUGGUUUGCACGGCUCACUUGCCGAGAUCAUCGGCAGCCGUGAUGCCUCUGGUCGAGUGGCCAAGUGGGCCAUAGAGCUGGCUCCUUACACCAUCUACUACCAGCCCCGCACCGCUAUCAAAUCACAAGCACUGGCCGACUUCCUCGUCGACUGGGCCGAGACCCAGUGCCUGCCUCCAGCACCUGACUCCACCCAUUGGCGGAUGCACUUCGACGGCUCCAAGAUGCGCACCGGCUUGGGAGCCAGCGUCAUCCUCACCUCUCCCAAAGGCAACAAGCUCAAAUAUGCACUGCAAAUCCAUUUUGCCGCCUCCAACAAUGUGGCCGAGUACGAGGCACUCAUUUACGGGCUCCGGCUUGCCAAAGAACUUGGCAUCCACCGGAUCUUGUGUUAUGGCGACUCGGACUUAGUGGUCCAGCAGUCGUCUGGCGACUAGGAUGCCAAAGAUGCAAACAUGGCGAGCUACCGUUUCCUCGUGCAGCAACUCAGCGGGUAUUUCGAAGGGUGUGAGUUCCUCCAUGUGCCAAGAAACGACAACGACCAAGCAGACGCCUUGGCACGAAUCGGCUCUACCCGCCAAGCAAUACCAUCUGGCGUCGCCCUUCAACGCCUCCUCAAGCCGUCUGUCAAGCCUUCACCAGAAUCAAACUCCAUCUUUGUGCCGGCUCCUCCCGAAGACGGCGGACCCGACUCCAGAGUUCCGGCAGUCGGAACGGGGACUUUGGCGGGCGACUCCAAAGCUACCACAAUCGAGCCUAGCCCGGGGACUGCGGUGACGGACUUGAAGAUUCCAGAACUCGGCCCAAGGACCGAGCCAGUCGCCUGGGGACUUCAUCAGCCCAACAAGCGGUUGUUGACUCCAGCCCGCCGCCUCCCAGCCCAGCCGCCCUCGUCCAAGUCGCAGUUCUGAUAGUCGACGAAAUAGCAGCACCCUCAAUCCUCAAAUUUCUGGUGAACAAAGAGCUACCAACUGAUGAGACCUCAGCUCGGCAAGUACAACAUCGGGCAGCAGCCUAUACCAUAAUCAACAGAGAGCUGGUCAGGCGCAAUGUCACUGGUGUCUACCAGCGCUGCGUAGAGCCAGAGCAAGGCCAGGCGAUCCUCAAAGACAUCCAUCAAGGCGAAUGUGGCCACCAUGCGGCUUCAAGAGCACUCGUCGCCAAAGCUUUUCGACACGGUUUCUUUUGGCCGACUACCUUGGAAGAGGCCAAGGAGUUGGUCCAAAAAUGCAAAGGGUGUCAGAAGUUCAGCUCCAAGCCGCACCAGCCGGCUUUCGCGCUCAAGACCAUCCCCAUUGCUUGGCCUUUCGUUGUUUGGGGCCUAGACAUGGUGGGACCAUUCAAAACAGCACGAGGUGGUCUAACUCACCUACUUGUCGUAGUGGACAAGUUCACCAAGUGGGUGGAAGUAAAGCCAAUUAAGAAACUGAACGGUCCGACUGCCAUGACCUUCAUCACCGAUAUCACAAUUCAGUACGGCAUACCACACAGCAUCAUCACCGACAACGGCACAAAUUUUGCCAAAGGCGCCUUGGCCCGUUUCUGCGCAACACAGGGCAUCCGACUGGACCUAGCGUCCGUCGCCCACCCACAGUCAAACGGCCAAGUGGAGUGAGCAAAUGGCCUCAACCUGUCCGGCAUCAAGCCUCGGUUGAUCGAGCCUCUGGAGCGCUCGGCUGGCUGCUGGCUCGACGAGCUGCCAGCCGUCCUCUGGAGUCUGCACACGACUCCAAACAAGUCAACCGGCUUCACGCCCUUCUUCCUCGUCUACGGUGCCGAAGCCGUCAUCCCAACGGACAUAGAGUUCGACUCCCCACGAGUCGCCAUGUACACCAAGGAGGAAGCAGAAGAAGCACGACAAGACGGUGUCGAUCUGCUGGAAGAGGGCCGGCUGUGGGCACUUAGCUGGUCCAGCAUCUACCAGCAGAGCCUGCGCUGAUACCACAACAGGAAGGUCAGGCCAAGAUCUUUCCAAGAAGGCGACCUUGUACUCCGGCUGACCCAGCGAACAGCCGGCCAGCACAAGUUGUCGCUGCCUUGGGAAGGCCCUUUCAUCAUCAGCAAAGUACUAGGCAACGACUCCUACUACCUGAUCGACGCUCAGAAGCCCCGAGCACGCAAGAGGGACGACUCCGGCAAGGAGACAGAGCGGCCAUGGAAUGCAAAUCUUCUCCGAAGAUUUUACAGUUGAUGCAGUAUGUACCACGCUACCCUUUGUAAAGUACCAAGACUUCAGGCCCCCCCGAGACGAGCUCGGGGACUGCCCUCUUUUGUCUAUAUGAUAAAAAUUAUGCCUACAAGUAUGUUACUCUUUGUCAUGCCGCUAGGCACCGGGCUCGACAAGUCGGCCCGGGGACUUGCCGCCUUGCACUAUGAAAUGCUUCCUGCAGCCGGACAAGUAGUGUGUAACAUCUAAGCCGUCUUCUGUCAGAAGCCGCAGCUCGCAGAGCGACUGUACGGUGGGCAGAGGUAAGGUAGAAUGGGUGAUCGCACAAAAAAUGGCUAGGGACUCAAAGCGUAAAACAUAGCUCAAGACGGCUUCCAAGCCCUUCUCGCAAACUGACUCUCGGACAGUCGGAUUAUCGUUUUCUAUCCAACUUGCUCAAACAAUCUUAAAAUCGGCUAAGUACUUGCUUUCCCAAAGUAGCCUAGCACUUGAUCCAGCAACAGUCUGCAGAGCGGCUGUCCGAUUGGCAAGGCAGGCAAUUAGGAGAAAGCGGCAAAGGAAACAGCCAAAAGAACAAUGAGCAAGAAAAGAUAGACAUAUAUAUAUAACACAGGCCCAUGGCCGAAUUGUCAAGCAGAGGUUCAAAAUACACGUCGCGGGUGGAAUUGUGCGAAUUAACAAGUUCUUCAAAAGACUACUGAAGCAGAUAAAACAAAAGACACAGCGGCAGCUUAGGAGGCGGCAAACGGAGUCAGGGGGUCGGAGGAGGCGCCAGCAUCAGUCAUCGGGGCGGUCGGCCGGCUAGUCUCAGCUUGAUCACCUCCGGCAGCAGUCGGAUCGGUCGCACGCGGCUCGUUGCUGAAGGCGCGAUCGGGCUAAGGCUGGUCGUCUGCUCCGUCUUCUGGUGCCUCCGCCUCGCCCUCAUCCUCCGCCUCGUCCUCCUCCUCGACGCUGGAGCCGAUCACCUCCGCCGAGUCUUCGCCGUAGUCUGGGUUCAUCCCAAACCACUCCGGCGGGACCUCCUCGCCGUCUUCAGACCGCUCGGGGACAAAGAUGCUCGUGUCGGUGUACUCGGCGAUCGCCGCAGCACGCUUGACGAGGGCGUCUUCCGCAGCCGCCAGCUCCGGCUGGGCCUCCAACCGAAGCGUGGCCAACCGGUCUAGAUCCAGCCCCGGGUACCACGCCUUGACGAACUCCAAGGCCGGCGCGCUCCAGCCCGGGCCGAAGAGCCCUUCCAGGCCUCGAGGCGACCAGCCGCGACCUCCAACCAGUUGGCCGUCAGGCUGGGGGUGCGCGGAGCCUGCAUAUCCGGCCAAAGGGCGGAGAUCACCUGGGCGCCGACGCGCUGAAGCCGGCGCAGCAUCCGGUGAGCCGGCCGGAGGCGAGCCUCUAUACUCAAGAUGUGCUCAUCAAGAGUUCGGGGGCCAUCGGCGGCGAUCUCUGCGCCCUCCUCCCUCCGACUUUCACGAUCGGCCUCGAUGGCUUGGAUAGCGGCCUGAGACUGCCGAGGGAAGAAGUCUGCAAAAGACACGAAGAAACAAAAAAGCGAGUCAAAAACCAGGAGUCGGCACGACCUAGGUUGGCGGCUCAACGAAAGAAAACAAAGAGACUCACCAUCAACGAUGUCUUCGAUCUCAUGGAAGCCGGAGGACAGCAUCGCCUCCUUGUCAGACCAGGAAGAGCGCUCGCUCGCGAACUCGGCCAGGAGGGCGGCCUCCGUAUCCUCCGCCUCCCUCUGUGACUUCGCGAGCAGCCCCUUCUGCUCUACCAACUGAGUGGUCAGCAGAUCGCGCUCCGCGGCGAGCUUGCCGCACUCCUCCCCUUUGGCGAGCAGGGCGGAGUUGGCUUCGCUCAACUGCUGUUGAAGAGCAGCGUUGGCCCCUGAAGUAAAGAAAGAAAGACAACAGUCGUCAAUAAAGUAGGUCGUCAGGGAGAUCCGGCCCGACUGCUCAGCAGUCGGCCCGAAUCUCGGGGACUACAGCCCACGGGUGCGCUAGCGCGCCCCCGCAGAGAAGAGAAAAAGGAGAAGGACUUACUCCGGCUCUCCGCCAAGUCGGCGGUCCGCUUGCCCAACUCUUCAACAUUACGGUUGAAGGCGGUGACGCGGAGGUUGUGGUAGUCCUGCAACAAGCAUUUCAGACAAAGUUAGUACCCAGAAGUUCAUCAAAUUGGAGUUACAGACCGCCUGCUCAGCAGCCGACCCGAAACUCGGGGACUACACCCAGUGGGUGCGCUGGCGCGCCCCCACAGAGAGGAACAAGAAAAAUAAAGGCCCAAAGAAAAGACAUACUCGGACGGCCGCCCGCGACGCCAGGAACACCUUGGUGCAGCUCUGGAGGGUGUCGCCCUCAGUGCGGAGCUUCGCCUGGACGUCCAGGAGCGCCCGGUUCAGCGGCCCUGUGCCGCCACCCCGCACACACCCAACAGGUGCGGCGCUCGUCGCCUCGGCGUCUGGAGCCGCGGAGCUGGCGGUGCCGGCCUCCAGGGGGCGGGGUGCCGAAGUCGCCUUCUCCAGACGACGGCGCGCUGGCGAGCCGACCUGGAGGAGUAGCCUCGCCACGGCCUCUUCUUCGGUCGGCGGCACCGGAGGGUCCGCUGGAUGCUCGCCUCGCACGCCUUCAGACGGUGGCGGAGGCGGCGGCGGAACAUUCGCGCCCGGAGUAGAGGGCUCGCCGCCUUCCCUCUCCUCGACGAGGUUCUCCCCGCUGGCUCCUCCAGUCUGCCCCGUGAACUCCGGCGGCAGCAGCGCAGAGUUCAGCGGGGUAACAAGCAAGGCCACCUGGCGGCGUGCGGCUUCCUCAGCCUGCUGCUUCGCCGCGGCGGCGGCUUUGGCCUCCGCUAGUUUUUUCUUGGCAGAGGCCUCCGCCCUGUCGACCACCGCCUUCUCCAGGCGGAGGGCUUCUUCUUCAUUGCGCUUCUCCUGUGCAUUCCGCUCCAUCGCCUCCUGGAGGUCGGCAGCGGGGUCUAUCCGCCGAGUGGUGGCGGGCGUCCCCGCUGACCCCAUGACGGAGGCGGCGGUGACCCGCUCAAGAGAGAGGGGAGCCCUGAAGAAAGAAGGGCGAGCAAAGACUCAGACAAAACACGAAGAAAGAAUAAACUUUGAAGUCAGAAUACUCACGCAGAGACCAACGGCGGCUUCUUCACUUCCUUACGGAAGCGGAUGGCCUUCGCGGCUGCCUCGUCCUGCCGGGUCGCCGCAGCCGAGCCCUUGGGCUUCUUCAGUCGGCUGCCAAACAAAGUCGGUGCAGCCCGGCGCUUCUUCCCGCCGCCUGGAGCACCCGAUGCGGCAGAAGAGCCCGUGCCCGGCUGGCUGGCUCCUGGCCGAUGGUGAGGGGCGACUCCUCCCUCGGCAUCGUCUUCAGGCCAGUCGGCGAAGGUAGCCAAGGGCCUGAAGUCACCUGUCGUCCCUCCUCCUCCCUCAGCGUCGUCUUCCAGAGCCGCCGCCCCCAGAUCGGGGUCGUCAACGUCACUCUCCGCUCGAUCGGCGGCGAACUCACGGGCCGGCCCCGAGGUGCCGGCUGGUGGGUGAAGAAGGGGAUUCUAACCAAAAAGCAGACUGAUUAGAACAAGACUCGGCAAGAAGAAGACAGUCUAAAGAAAAGAAAGGCGACUCACCACGGGCGGAGGGUUGCCGCGGGAGUAUGACUCCUUGCCGAAUCGCCAGUCCUCCGGGAGCCUGCUGUCCGAGAGGCAGUUCACCAUCAGGGCCACCUCUUCGUGAGGCAUGUCCUUGGUGCACAUCCGACUCGGGUCGCGGCCCCCGCUCAUCUGGCAUAUUAGGUGAGGGCGGCCUUGGAGUGGGAGAACUCGGCGCAAGACGAAGGCGGCCAGCAGGUCCGGGCCGGUCAGACCCUCCGACUGCGUUAGCACUCGGAGUCGCAUGAUGGCGCCGACUCCCGUAGGCGUCAGCGACCUGGCCCGGUACGACCAGUUGGGCAGUCUGCCAGCCAGCGGGCCGGCUUCGAAAGCCGGCAGAUUAACCCAGUCGCCCCUCGUGGCGACGUUCCUGACAUAGAAGUAGGACCGCUGCCACAUCUUCACCGACUUCAGCAGCGAGAUGGAGGGGAAGUGGUUGUCGGCUCCUGUCCUUUGCACGGCGACGAAGGCGCCGCACUGAGCCGGCACGCCCGCGGCCUGGGUGCCGAGCUUGGAGAAGAAGAACUCCCCCCAAAGCUCGAGGGUGGGGAGGACUCCAAGGAAGCCCUCGCACAGAGCCAUGAAGGCGGACAGCAGCACCACUGUGUUGGGGGUGAGGUGGUGCGGCUGGAGUCCGUAAAACUCCAUGAACGACCAGAAGAAGCUGCUCGCCGGCAGCCCCAGCCCGUGCAGGCAAUGCGAGCGGAAGAUGACCCGCUCGCCCUCCCGCAGGGCGGGGAAAAUCUCCCCCUCCGGCGCGAGACGCACCUGCACGCGAUCCUCGCCAGGAAGCCGACGGGUCCGGCGGAGGAACUCGAUAUGGUCUUCAUGGACCUCGGAGCCGUCCCAGGUGCCGGAGUGCACUGGGGGAGGCGCGGCCGCGGAGGAAGAGCUCAUCGCGAAGCUGUCGCCGCGGCGUUCGCCGGAGCUUGGGCGUGCGGCAAGGCGAAGAAGAGAAGAGGAAGCAGGAGAGUGAGGAGCUGCGAGGAGGAAGAAGCGAGGGGUACUGGGAAGAGGGGCGCGCGUGCCCCCUCUUCCCCCUACUUAUAGUCCUAUGGGUUGCGAAGCCGAGGGGGCGGACGUGGGGAUUUACUGCGCCCGCAGCCCCACGACCCCCACGAUCCACGUAAAGUUACUGCGCGCAGUAACUUCAUGGGAAUCCCAACCGCCCACCAGGGCCGCAGCGGAUCCGCUCGGGCGCCGAGGCACGGUAGUGGCGGGCCCCGCCUAUGGGCCUGUCCCGUCGCGUGCGUGGGAUGGCAGAACGGUCUGGCCACGUGCCCUCGUGUGACAGGCCAGGAACGGGCGGCGGCCUGGAAGCUUAGCUAGCACGCCACUUGAAAUCCCGCCGCGACGUUCGAACUACUGAGCAAGUCAGAAUUGAGUGAGUCCGAGUUGGGCGGGUCCGACUCCUUCUAGUCAGCCCGGCGGAAGUCAAUCAAGACCAUGUGUUGCGCCCGGAAAGAGAAACUGCUGAGGCUUCUCGGCCGAUCGUCCGCGGCGCCUCACCAGCUUCAGGGACUACUGUCAGAGUAAUGGGCCACGGGUAGGCCAACCCGAGCCCCACGACCUUUCAAGACAUUGGGGCAGGCUGCGCCCCUCAAGACCACAGGGCGAACAGCCGCCUCCUGGGGAGUCUACGGCAAGGCGGCCGACUGCCCGCUCACGGCCGAGUCCCAGGAACGACUUCCAGAGAAGCUGGCUUUGGGGAGUCGGCUGGCGACUCCAACAAACCGUGACCUCAUCGAGGGGGACGGGGCAGGGGCGUGGCUACAAUGAAGCCCACUCCCUGCCCCUUACCAAGGGCAGGCAUGGCUACAGCGCGCCGUACUUGGGAAGAUCUCCCCGCGGCAUGGCACUGUUGCCCAGACGGCCCUGACAUCAGCACCACUGUACCUGGUCCUGCGCCCACGACGGCUUGUCUGUACGGUCUGGAGGCAGCAGGGCCUACCAGCUAGCGAGACCUCGGGAGACAGCGGGAGCACCGCCAGUCGUACCCAACGGGAGUCGGCCCGGGGGAGUCGGCCGAGACCUCCCCUGGGCCCACGCGCCAUUAAUCAAGAAGAGAUGGGGAGUGACCACAGUGAUUGCCCGCCAGGCGGCGGGGCUGUUGCCACGACCCCAUGACCAAGCUUGCAUCAUCAGGAGCACGGCUACAGUGAUCAGCAGCCGGCAAGACCCGCCCGCGGCGGACGCGGCCUGUCGGCUCCGUACCAGACCAGUCGGCGGGGCCCACCAGUCGGCGGGCCCCAGCAGUCGGCGGAGAAGUCGGAGGUUGGAGACACUGACGGCUGGGCCCGUGCCCAGUCACAUUACCAUUGUACCCCUGGGGGUAGGCCUAUAUAAACCCCCCAGGGCACCCAUGCAAAAGGGUUGGAUCCCAGUAGUUCUAUACCUCACCAGAUAGAGGGAGAGAGCUAGCCUUGCCCUCUCCUACCACCAUACACAGCUCAAGGAGCAACCGUGUAAACACUUGACCAUAGUGAUCAUGCGGAGACCCCGCAGAGCAGCAGUAGGGGUAUUAUCUCCCCGGAGAGCCCCGAAGCUGGGUAAGAUUCGCUGGCGUGCAUGUCUUCGCCUCAUCCCGUUUCCAGGCACCGGCGACGUUCUACUCGCCCCCACCAUGAUAAGCCAUCUGUUGGCAUAUGUCGCACCAAACCCCUGACAAUCUUCUGUCGUGGUCGGACAUUGAGCUGAGCUCAAUUUCACACCUUGCAACACAGGCAAGAACCCCUUCUUGGACUGAUCCAUAUUGAACUUCUUCAAUAUCUUAUCAAGGUAUGUUCUUUGUGAAAGACCUAUGAGGCAUCUCGAUCUAUCUCUAUAGAUCUUGAUGCCUAAUAUGUAAGCAGCUUCUCCAAGGUCCUUCAUUGAAAAACACUUAUUCAAGUAGGCCUUAAUAUUGUCCAAAAGUUCUAUAUCAUUUCCCAUCAAAAGUAUGUCAUCCACAUAUAAUAUGAGAAAUGCUACAGAGCUCCCACUCACUUUCUUGUAAACGCAGGCUUCUCCAUAAGUCUGCAUAAACCCAAAUGCUUUGAUCAUUUCAUUAAAGCGAAUGUUCCAACUCCGAGAUGCUUGCACCAGCCCAUAGAUGGAGCGCUGGAGCUUGCUUACCUUGUUAGCAUUCUUAGGAUUGACAAAACCUUCCAGCCGCAUCAUAUACAAUUCUUCCUUAAGAAAGCCGUUAAGGAAAGCCGUUUUGACGUCCAUUUGCCAUAUCUCAUAAUCAUAGUAUGCGGCAAUUGCUAACAUGAUUCGGACGGACUUCAGCUUCACUACGGGUGAGAAGGUCUCAUCGUAGUCAACCCCUUGAACUUGUCGAUAACCCUUAGCGACAAGUUGAGCCUUAUAGAUGGUAACAUUACCAUCCGCAUCCGUCUUCUUCUUAAAGAUCCAUUUAUUCUCUAUCGCUCGCCGAUCAUCGGGCAAAUCUGUCAAAGUCCAUACUUUGUUUUCAUACAUGGAUCCUAUCUCGGAUUGCAUGGCUUCAAGCCAUUUGUUGGAAUUUGGGCCCGCCAUUGCUUCUUCAUAGUUCGAAGGUUCAUCGUUUUCUAACAACAUGAUUUCCAGGACAGGGUUGCUAUACCAUUCUGGUGUGGAACGUAUCCUUGUGGACCUUCGAAGUUCAGUAGCAACUUGAUCCGAAGUACCUUGAUCAUCAUCAUUAACUUCCUCUCUAGUUGGUGCAGGCACCACAGGAACAUCUUCCUGAGUUGCGCUACUUUCCGGUUCAAGAGGUAGUACUUCAUCGAGUUCUACUUUCCUCCCACUUACUUCUCUCGAGAGAAACUCUUUCUCCAGAAAGGACCCGUUCUUGGCAACAAAGAUCUUGCCUUCGGAUCUGAGGUAGAAGGUAUACCCAAUGGUUUCCUUAGGGUAUCCUAUGAAGACACAUUUUUCCGACUUGGGUUCGAGCUUUUCAGGUUGAAGUUUCUUGACAUAAGCAUCGCAUCCCCAAACUUUUAGAAACGACAGCUUAGGUUUCUUCCCAAACCAUAAUUCAUACGGUGUCGUCUCAACGGAUUUAGACGGUGCCCUAUUUAAAGUGAAUGUAGCUGUAUCUAGAGCGUAUCCCUAAAAUGAUAGCGGUAAAUCAGUGAGUGACAUCAUAGAUCGCACCAUAUCCAAUAGAGUGCGAUUACGACUUCGGACACACCGUUACGCUGAGGUGUUCCAGGCGGCGUGAGUUGUGAAACGAUUCCACAUUUCCUUAAGUGCGUACCAAAUUCGUGACUUAAAUAUUCUCCCCCACGAUCUGAUCGUAAGAAUUUUAUCUUUUGGUCACGUUGAUUAUCUACCUCAUUCUGAAAUUCCUUGAACUUUUCAAAGGUCUCAGACUUGUGUUUCAUCAAAUAGACAUACCCAUAUCUACUUAAGUCAUCAGCGAGAGUGAGAACAUAACGAUAGCCACCACGAGCCUCAACGCUCAUUGGACCGCACACAUUAGUAUGUAUAAUUUCCAAUAAGUUGGUUGCUCGCUCCAUUGUUCCGGAGAACAGAGUCUUGGUCAUUUUACCCAUGAGGCAUGGUUCACAUGUGUCAAAUGAUUCGAAAUCAAGAGACUCCAAAAGUCCAUCUGUAUGGAGCUUGUUCAUGCGUUUGACACCGAUGUGACCAAGGCGGCAGUGCCACAGAUAUGUGGGACUAUCAUUAUCAAUCUUACAUCUUUUGGUAUUCACACUAUGAAUAUAUGUAACAUCACAUUCGAGAUUCAUUAAGAAUAAACCAUUGACCAGCGGGGCAUGACCAUAAAACAUAUCUCUCAUAUAAAUAGAAAAACCAUUAUUCUCGGAUUUAAAUGAGUAGCCAUCUCGUAUUAAACGAGAUCCAGAUACAAUGUUCAUGCUCAAAGCUGGCACUAAAUAACAACUAUUGAGGUUUAAAACUAAUCCCGUAGGUAAAUGUAGAGGUAGCAUGCCGACGGCGAUCAUAUCGACCUUGGAACCAUUCCCGACGCGCAUCGUCACCUCGUCCUUCGCCAGUCUCCAUUUAUUCCGCAGCUCCUAUUUUGAGUUACAAAUAUGAGCAACCGCACCGGUAUCAAAUACCCAUGAGCUACUACGAGUACUGGUAAGGUACACAUCAAUUACAUGUAUAUCACAUAUACCUUUAGUGUUGCCGGCCUUCUUGUCCGCUAAGUAUUUGGGGCAGUUUCGCUUCCAGUGUCCCUUUCCCUUGCAAUAAAAGCACUCAGUCUCAGGUUUGGGUCCAUUCUUUAGCUUCUUCCCGGCAACUGAUUUACCGGGCGCGGCAACUCCCUUGUCGUCCUUCUUGAAGUUCUUCUUACCCUUGCCUUUCUUGAAACUAGUGGUUUUAUUGACCAUCAACACUUGAUGUUCAUUUUUGAUUUCCACCUCCGUUGAUUUCAGCAUUGAAAAUACUUCAGGAAUAGUUUUCACCAUCCCCUGCAUAUUGUAGUUCAUCACAAAGCUCUUGUAGCUAGGUGGGAGCGACUGAAAGAUUCUAUCAAUGACCGCCUCAUACGGGAGGUUAAUGUCCAACUGGGACAAGUGGUUGUGCAACCCAGUGUUGGGGAACGUAGCAGAAUUUUAAAUUUUUCAACGCAUCACCAAGAUCAAUCUAUGGAGUCAUCUAGCAACGUGGGAGAGAGGAGUGCAUCUACAUACCCUUGUAGAUCGCGCGCGGAAGCGUUCAAGAGAACGGGGUUGAUGGAGUCGUACUCGACGUGAUUCAAAUCACCGAUGACCUAGUGCCGAACGGACGGCACCUCCGCAUUCAACACACGUACGGUUAGGAAGACGUCUCCUCCUUCUUGAUCCAGCAAGGGGGAACGAGGGGUUGAUGAAGAUCCAGCAGCACGACGGCGUGGUGGUGGAUGCAGCAGGAUCCCGGCAGGGCUUAGCCAAGCGCAAGCGGGGAGGAGAGGUGUUACGGAGGGAGAGGGAGGCGCCAAGAGCAAGGGGUGCGGCUGCCCUCCCUCCCCCCUCUUUAUAUAGGGGCCUUGGGGGGCGGCGGCCCUAGGGAGAUGGAUCUCCAAGGGGCGGCGGCCAAGGAUGGCUUCCCCCCCUCCCCAAGCCAAGUGGGGGGCGCCCCCACCCCUAGGGUUUCCCAACCCUAGGCGCAGGGCAGGCCCAAGGGGGGGUGCACCAGCCCACUAGGGGCUGGUUCCCCACCCAAUUCAGCCCAUGGGGCCCUCCGGGAUAGGUGGCCCCACCCGAUGAACCCCUCGGACCCUUCCGAUGGUCCCGGUACAAUACCGGUAACCCCCGAAACCUUCCCGAUGGCCAAAACUUGACUUCCCAUAUAUAAAUGUUUACCUCCGGACCAUUCCGGAACUCCUCGUGACGUCCGUGAUCUCAUCCGGGACUUUGAACAACUUUCGGGUUACUGCAUACUAAUAUCUCUACAACCCUAGCGUCACCGAACCUUAAGUGUGUAGACCCUACGGGUUCGGGAGACAUGCAGACAUGACCGAGACGCCUCUCCGGUCAAUAACCAACAGCGGGAUCUGGAUACCCAUGUUGCCUCCCACAUGCUCCACGAUGAUCUCAUCGGAUGAACCACGAUGUCGAGGAUUCAAUCAAUCCGUAUACAACUCCCUUUGUCAAUCGGUACAUUACUUGCCCGAGACUCGAUCGUCAGUAUCCCAAUACCUCGUUCAAUCUCGUUACCGGCAAGUCAACUUACUCGUGCCGUAAUGCAUGAUCCCGUGAUCAACCACUUGGUCACAUUGAGCUCAUUAUGAUGAUGCAUUACCGAGUGGGCCCAGAGAUACCUCUCCAUCAUACGGAGUGACAAAUCCCAGUCUCGAUUCGUGCCAACCCAACAGAUACUUUCGGAGAUACCUGUAAUGUACCUUUAUAGUCACCCAAUUACGUUGUGACAUUUGGCACACCCAAGGCACUCCUAUGUUAUCCGGGAGUUGCACAAUCUCAUGGUCUAAGGAAAUGAUACCUGACAUUCGGAAAAGCUACAGCAAACGAACUACACGAUCUUUGAGCUAUGCUUAGGAUUGGGUCUUGUCCAUCACAUCAUUCUCCUAAUGAUGUGAUCCCGUUAUCAAUGACAUCCAAUGUCCAUAGUCAGGAAACCAUGACUAUCUUUUGAUCAACGAGCUAGUCAACUAGAGGCUCACUAGGGACGUGUUGUGGUCUAUGUAUUCACACAUGUAUUACGAUUUCCGGAUAACACAAUUAUAGCAUGAACAAUAGACAAUUAUCAUGAACAAAGAAAUAUAAUAAUAACCAUUUUAUUAUUACCUCUAGGGCAUAUUUCCAACAGUCUCCCACUUGCACUAGAGUCAAUAUUGUAGUUACAUUGUGAUGAAUCGAACACCCAUGCAGUUCUGGUGUUGAUCAUGUUUUGCUCUAGGGAGAGGUUUAGUCAACGGAUCUGCCACAUUCGGGUCCGUAUGUACUUUACAAAUCUCUAUGUCUCCAUUUUGAACACUUUCACGAAUGGAGUUGAAGCGACGCUUGAUAUGCCUGGUCUUCUUGUGAAACCUGGGCUCCUUGGCAAGGGCAAUAGCUCCAGUGUUGUCAUAGAAGAGAGUCAUCGGGCCUGACGCAUUGGGUAUGACUCCUAGGUCGGUAAUGAACUCCUUCACCCAGACUGCUUCUUGUGCUACCUCCGAGGCUGCCAUGCACUCCGCUUCACAUGUAGAUCCCGCCACAACGCUUUGCUUACAACUGCACCAGCUUACUGCCCCACCAUUCAAAAUAUACACGUAUCCGGUUUGUGACUUAGAGUCAUCCAGAUGUGUGUCGAAGCUAGCAUCGACGUAACCCUUUACGACGAGCUCUUCGUCACCUCCAUACACUAGAAACAUGUCCUUAGUCCUUUUCAGGUACUUCAGGAUAUUCUUGACUGCUGUCCAGUGUUCCAUGCCGGGAUUACUUUGGUACCUUCCUACCAAACUUACGGCAAGGUUUACAUCAGGUCUGGUACACAGCAUAGCAUACAUGAUAGACCCUAUGGCCGAGGCAUAGGGGACGACACUCAUCUUUUCUCUAUCUUCUGCCAUGGUCGGGCAUUGAUCCGUGCUCAAUCUCGUACCUUGCAAUACAGGCAAGAACCCCUUCUUUGACUGAUCCAUUUUGAACCUCUUCAAUAUCUUGUCAAGGUACGUACUCUGUGAAAUACCAAUGAGGCGUCUCGAUCUAUCUCUAUAGAUCUUGAUGCCUAAUAUAUAAGCAGCUUCUCCAAGGUCCUUCAUUGAAAAACACUUGUUCAAGUAGGCCUUUAUGCUUUCCAAGAAUUCUAUAUCAUUUCCCAUCAACAGUAUGUCAUCCACAUACAAUAUGAGAAAUGCUAUAGAGCUCCCACUCACUUUAUUGUAAAUGCAGGCUUCUCCAUAAGUCUGCGUAAACCCAAACGCUUUGAUCAUCUCAUCAAAACGAAUGUUCCAACUCCGAGAUGCUUGCACCAGCCCAUAAAUCGAGCGUUGGAGCUUGCACACCUUGUCAGCAUUCUUAGGAUCGACAAAACCUUUCGGCUGCAUCAUAUACAAUUCUUCCUUAAGGAAACCAUUAAGGAAUGGCGUUUUGACGUCCAUUUUCCAUAUCUCAUAAUCAUAGAAUGCGGCAAUUGCUAACAUGAUUCGGACGGACUUCAGCUUCGCUACGGGUGAGAAAGUCUCAUCGUAGUCAACCCCUUGAACUUGUCGAUAACCCUUAGCGACAAGCCGAGCUUUAUAGAUGGUCACAUUACCAUCCGCGGUUGUCUUCUUCUUAAAGAUCCAUUUAUUUUCUAUGGCUCGCCGAUCAUCGGGCAAGUCAGUCAAAGUCCAUACUUCGUUUUCAUACAUGGAUCCUAUCUCGGAUUUCAUGGCUUCCAGCCAUCUGUCGGAAUCUGGGCCCGCCAUCGCUUCUUCAUAGUUCGAAGGUUCACCGUUGUCUAACAACAUGAUUUCCAAGACAGGGUUGCCGUACCACUCUGGUGCGGAACGUGUCCUCGUGGACCUACGAAGUUCAGUAGCAACUUGAUCUGAAGUUUCAUGAUCAUCAUCAUUAACUUCCUCUCUAGUCGGUGCAGGCACCUCAGGAACAUUUUCUUGAGUUGCGCCACUUACCGGUUCAAGAGGUAACACUUCAUCAAGUUCUACUUUCCUCCCACUUACUUAUUUCGAGAGAAACUCUUUCUCUAGAAAGUACCCAUUCUUGGCAACAAAGAUAUUUCCUUCGGAUCUGAGGUAGAAGGUAUACCCAACAGUUUCUUUAGGGUAUCCUAUGAAGACGCAUUUUUCCGACUUGGGUUCGAGCUUUUCAGGUUGAAGUUUCUUGACAUAAGCAUCGCAUCCCCAAACUUUUAGAAACGACGGCUUAGGUUUCUUCCCAAACCAUAAUUCAUAUGGUGUCGUCUCAACGUAUUUCGACGGAGCCCUAUUUAAAGUGAAUGUGGCAGUCUCUAAAGCAUAGCCCCAAAAUGACAGCGGUAAAUCAGUAAGAGACAUCAUAGAUCGGACCAUAUCCAAUAGAGUGUGAUUACGACGUUCGGACACACCAUUACGCUGAGGUGUUCUAGGCGGCGUGAGUUGUGAAACUAUUCCACAUUUUCUUAAGUGUGUGCCAAAUUCGUGACUCAAGUAUUCUCCCCCACGAUCUGAUCGCAAGAACUUGAUUUUCUUGUCACGUUGAUUCUCAACCUCACUCUGAAAUUCCUUGAACUUUUCAAAGGUCUCAGACUUGUGUUUAAUUAAGUAGACAUACCCAUAUCUACUCAAGUCAUCAGUGAGGGUGAGAACAUAACGAUAGCCACCGCGAGCCUCAACACUCAUUGGACCGCACACAUCAGUAUGUAUGAUUUCCAAUAAGUUGGUUGCUCGCUCCAUUGUUCCUGAGAACGGAGUCUUGCUCAUUUUCGCAUGUGUCAAAUGAUUCGUAAUCAAGAGACUCUAAAAGUCCAUCUGCAUGGAGCUUCUUCAUGCGUUUGACACCUAUGUGACCAAGGUGGCAGUGCCACAAGUAUGUGGGACUAUCAUUAUCAACCUUACAUCUUUUGGUAUUCACACUAUGAAUAUGUGUAGCAUUAUGCUCGAGAUUCAUUAAGAAUAAACCAUUCACCAUCGGAGCAUGACCAUAAAACAUAUCUCUCAUAUAAAUAGAACAACCAUUAUUCUCGGAUUUAAGUGAGUAGCCAUCUCGAAUUAAACGAGAUCGUAAUACAAUGUUCAUGCUCAAAGCUGGCACUAAAUAACAAUUAUUGAGGUUUAAAACUAAUCCCGUAGGUAAAUGUAGAGGCAGCAUGCCGACGGCGAUCACAUCGACCUUGGAACCAUUCCCGACGCACAUCGUCACCUCGUCCUUCACCAGUCUCCGCUUAUUCCGCAGCUCCUGCUUUCAGUUACAAAUGUGAGCAACCGCACCGGUAUCAAAUACCCAGGAGCUACUACGAGUACUGGUAAGGUACACAUCAAUUACAUGUAUAUCACAUAUACCUUUAGUGUUGCCAACCUUCUUGUCCGCUAAGUAUUUGGGGCAGUUCCGCUUCCAGUGACCACUUCCCUUGCAAUAAAAACACUCAGUCUCGGGCUUGGGUCCAUUCUUUGGUUUCUUCCCGGAAGCUUGCUUACCGGGCGCGGCAACUCCCUUGCCGUCCUUCUUGAAGUUCUUCUUACCCUUGCCUUUCUUGAACUUAGUGGUUUUAUUCACCAUCAACACUUGAUGUUCCUUUUUUAUUUCCACCUCUGCUGAUUUCAGCAUUGAAUACACCUCAGGAAUGGUCUUUUCCAUCCCCUGCAUAUUGAAGUUCAUCACAAAGCUCUUGUAGCUCGGUGGAAGCGACUGAAGGAUUCUGUCAAUGACCACGUCAUCCGGGAGAUUAACUCCUAGCUGAGUCAAGCGGUUAUGCAACCCAGACAUUCUGAGUAUGUGCUCACUGACAAAACUAUUUUCCUCCAUCUUACAGCUGAAGAACUUGUCGGAGACUUCAUAUCUCUCGACCCGGGCAUGAGCUUGAAAAACCAUUUUCAGCUCUUCGAACAUCUCAUAUGCUCCGUGUCUCUCAAAACGCUUUUGGAGCCCCGGUUCUAAGCUGUAAAGCAUGCCGCACUGAACGAGGGAGUAAUCAUCAGCACAUGACUGCCAAGCGUUCAUAACGUCUUGAUUUUGUGGGACAGGUGCAUCACCUAGCGGUGCUUCUAGGACAUAAUCUUUCUUGGCAGCUAUGAGGAUGAUCCUCAGGUUCCGGACCCAGUCCGUAUAGUUGCUGCCAUCGUCUUUUAGCUUGGUUUUCUCUAGGAACGCAUUGAAGUUGAGGACAACGUGGGCCAUUUGAUCUACAAGACAUAUUGUAAAGAUUUUAGACUAAGUUCAUGAUAAUUAAGUUCAUCUAAUCAAAUUACUCAAUGAACUCCCACUCAGAUAGACAUCCCUCCAGUCAUCUAAGUGAAACAUGAUCCGAGUUAACUAGGUCGUGUCCGAUCAUCACGUGAGACGGACUGGCCAACAUCGGUGAACAUCUUCAUGUUGAUCGUAUCUUCUAUACGACUCAUGCUCGACCUUUCGGUCUUCCGUGUUCCGAGGCCAUGUCUGUACAUGCUAGGCUCGUCAAGUCAACCUAAGUGUAUUGCGUGUGUAAAUCUGGCUUACACCCGUUGUAUUUGAACGUUAGAAUCUAUCACACCCGAUCAUCAUGUGGUGCUUCGAAACAACGAACCUUCGCAACGGUGCACAGUUAGGGGGAACACUUUCUUGAAAUUAUUACGAGGGAUCAUCUUAUUAAAGCUAUCGUCGUUCUAAGCAAAUAAGAUGUAAAACAUGAUAAACAUCACAUGCAAUCAAAUAGUGACAUGAUAUGGCCAUUAUCAUUUGCUCCUUUUGAUAUCCAUCUUCGGGGUGCCAUGAUCAUCAUCGUCACCGGCAUGACACCAUGAUCUCCAUCAUCGUGUCUUCAUGAAGUUGUCUCGUCAUCUAUUACUUCUACUACUAUGGCUAAUGCUUUAGCAAUAAAGUAAAGUAAUUUCAUGAUGUUUAUGUUGACACGCAGGUCAUAAAUAAAUAAAGACAACUCCUAUGGCUCCUGCCGGUUGUCAUACUCAUCGACAUGCAAGUCGUGAUUCCUAUUACAAGAACAUGAUUAUCUCAUACAUCACAUAUAUCAUUCAUCACAUCCUUUGGCCAUAUCACAUCACAAAACACUUGCUGCAAAAACAAGUUAGACGUCCUCUAAUUGUUGUUGCAAGUUUUUACGUGGCUGUUAUAGGUUUCUAGCAAGAACGUUUCUUACCUACGCCAAAACCACAACGUGAAUUGCCAAUUUCUAUUUACCCUUCAUAAGGACCAUGUUCAUCGAAUCCGAUCCGACUAAAGUGGGAGAGACAGACACCUGCCAGCCACCUUAUGCAACUAGUGUAUGUCAGUCGAUGGAACCAGUCUCACGUAAGCGUACGUGUAAGGUCGGUCCGGGCCGCUUCAUCCCACGAUGCCGCCGAAUCAAGAUAAGACUAGUAACAGCAAGCAAAUUGACAAUAUCGACGCCCACAACUGCUUUGUGUUCUACUCGUGCAUAGUAACUACGCAUAGACCUAGCUCUGAUACCACUGUUGGAGAACGUAGCAGAAUUUUAAAAUUUUCUACGCAUCACCAAGAUCAAUCUAUGGAGUCAUCUAGCAACAAGGGAGAGAGGAGUGCAUCUACAUACCCUUGUAGAUCGCGCGCGGAAGCGUUCAAGAGAACAGGGUUGAUGGAGUCGUACUCGACGUGAUUCAAAUCACCGAUGACCUAGUGUCGAACAGACGGCACCUCCGUGUUCAACACACGUACGGUUAGGAAGACGUCUCCUCCUCCUUCUUGAUCCAGCAAGGAGGAAUGAGAGGUUGAUGAAGAUCCAGCAGCACGACGGCGUGGUGGUGGAUGCAGCAGGAUCCCGGCAAGGCUUCGCCAAGAGCAAGCGGGGAGGAGAGGUGUUACGAAGGGAUAGGGAGGCGCCAACAGCAAGGGGUGCGGCUGCCCUCCCUCCCCCCUCUUUAUAUAGGGGCCUUGGGGGGCGCCGGCCCUAGGGAGAUGAUCUCCAAGGGGGCGGCGGCCAAGGGUGGCUUCCCCCCCAAGCCAAGUGGGAGGCGCCCCCACCCCUAGGGUUUCCCAACCCUAGGCGCAGGACAGGCCCAAGGGGGGCGCACCAACCCACUAGGGGCUGGUUCCCCACCAAAUUAAGCCCAUGGGGCCCUCCGAGAUAGGUGGCCCCACCCGGUGGACCCCCGGGACCCUUCCGGUGGUCCCGGUACAAUACCGGUAACCCCCGAAACCUUCCCGAUGGCCAAAACUUGACUUCCCAUAUAUAAAUCUUUACCUCCGGACCAUUUCGGAACUCCUCGUGACAUCCGUGAUCUCAUCCGGGACUCCGAACAACUUUCGGGUUACUGCAUACUAAUAUCUCUACAACCCUAGCGUCACCGAACCUUAAGUGUGUAGACCCUACGGGUUCGGGAGACAUGCAGACAUGACCGAGACGCCUCUUCAGUCAAUAACCAACAGCGGGAUCUAGACACCCAUGUUGGCUCCCACAUUCUCCACGAUGAUCUCAUCGGAUGAACCACGAUGUCGAGGAUUCAAUCAAUCCUUAUACAAUUCCCUUUGUCAAACGGUACGUUACUUGCCCGAGACUCGAUCGUCGGUAUCCCAAUACCUCGUUCAAUCUCGUUACCGGCAAGUCACUUUACUCAUGCCAUAAUGCAUGAUCCCGUGAUCAACCACUUGGUCACAUUGAGCUCAUUAUGAUGAUGCAUUACCGAGUGGGCCCAGAGAUACCUCUCCGUCAUACGGAGUGACAAAUCCUAGUCUCGAUUCGUGCCAACCCAACAGACACUUUCGGAGAUACCUGUAACUUGCCUUUAUAGUCACCCAGUUAUGUUGUGACAUUUGGCACACCCAAGGCACUCCUACGGUAUCUGGGAGUUGCACAAUCUCAUGGUCUAAGGAAAUGAUACCUGACAUUCAGAAAAGCUACAGCAAAUGAACUACACGAUCUUUGAGCUAAGCUUAGGAUUGGGUCUUGUCCAUCACAUCAUUCUCCUAAUUAUGUGAUCCCGUUAUCAAUGACAUCCAAUGUCCAUAGUCAGGAAACCAUGACUAUCUUUUGAUCAACGAGCUAGUCAACUAGAGGCUCACUAGGGACGUGUUGUGGUCUAUGUAUUCACACAUGUAUUACGAUUUCCGGAUAACACAAUUAUAGCAUGAACAAUAGACAAUUAUCAUGAACAAAGAAAUAUAAUAAUAACCAUUUUAUUGUUGCCUCUAGGGCAUAUUUCCAACACCCAGACAUUUUGAGUAUGUGCUCACUGACAGAACUAUUUUCCUCCAUCUUACAACUGUAGAAUUUGUCGGAGACUUCGUAUCUCUCGACCCGGGCAUGAGCUUGGAAAACCAUUUUCAGCUCUUCGAACAUCUCAUAUGCUCCAUGUUGCUCAAAACACUUUUGGAGCCCCGGUUCUAAGCUGUAAAGCAUGCCGCACUGAACGAGGGAGUAAUCGUCGGCACAUGACUGCCAAGCGUUCAUAACGUCUUGGUUCUCUGGGAUGGGUGCUUGACCUAGCGGUGCUUCUAUGACAUAUGCUUUCUUGGCAGCUAUGAGGAUGAUCCUCAGGUUCCGGACCCAGUCCGUAUAGUUGCUGCCAUCAUCUUUUAGCUUGGUUUUCUCUAGGAACGCGUUGAAGUUGAGGUUGACAUGAGCGUUGGCCAUUUGAUCUACAAGACAUUUUGCAAAGGUUUUUAGACUAAGUUCAUGAUAAUUAAGUUCAUCUAAUCAAAUUAUUUAAUGAACUCCCACUCAGAUUAGACAUCCCUCUAGUCAUCUAAGUGAUACAUGAUCCGACUCAACUAGACCGUGUCCGAUCAUCACGUGAGACGGACUAGUCAUCAUCGGUGAACAUCUCCAUGUUGAUCGUAUCUUCCAUACGACUCAUGUUCGACCUUUCGGUCUCUUGUGUUCCGAGGUCAUGUUUGUACAUGCUAGGCUCGUCAAGUCAACCUAAGUGUUUUGCAUGUGUAAAUCUGGCUUACACCCGUUGUAUGUGAACGUUAGAAUCUAUCACACCCGAUCAUCGCGUGGUGCUUCAAGACAACGAACUUUCGCAACGGCGCACAGUUAGGGGGAACACUUUCUUGAAAUUAUUGUGAGGGAUCAUCUUAUUUACUACCGUCGUUCUAAGCAAAUAAGAUGUAAAACAUGAUAAACAUCACAUGCAAUCAAAUAGUGACAUGAUAUGGCCAUUAUCAUUUGCUCCUUUUGAUAUCCAUCUUCGGGGUGCCAUGAUCAUCAUCGUCACCGGCAUGACACCAUGAUCUCCAUCAUCAUGAUCUCCAUCAUCGUGUCUUCAUGAAGUUGUCUCGUCAUCUAUUACUUCUACUACUAUGGCUAAUGGUUUAGCAAUAAAGUAAAGUAAUUACAUGACGUUUAUGUUGACACGUGGGUCAUAAAUAAAUUAAGACAACUCCUAUGGCUCCUGCCGGUUGUCAUACUCAUCGACAUGCAAGUCGUGAUUCCUAUUACAAGAACAUGAUCAAUCUCAUAUAUCAUUCAUCACAUCCUUUUGGCCAUAUCACAUCACACGGCAUAUGCUGCAAAAACAAGUUAGACAUCCUCUAAUUGUUGUUGCAAGUUUUUUACGUGGCUGCUAUAGGUUUCUAGCAAGAACGUUUCUUACCUACGCCAAAACCACAACAUGAUAUGCCAAUUUCUAUUUACCCUUCAUAAGGACCCUUUUCACCGAAUCCGAUCCGACUAAAGUGGGAGAGGCAGACACCCGCUAGCCACCUUAUGCAACUAGUGCAUGUCAAUCGGUGGAACCAGUGUCACGUAAGCGUACGUGUAAGGUCGGUCCGGGCCGCUUCAUCCCACGAUGCCGCCGAAUCAAGAUAAGACUAGUAACGGCAAGUAAAUUGACAAAAUCAACGCCCACAACAACUUGUGUUCUACUCGUGCAUAGAAACUACGCAUAGACCUAGCUCAUGAUGCCACUAUUGGGGAACGUAGCAGAAUUUUAAAAUUUUCUAUGCAUCACCAAGAUCAAUCUAUGGAGUCAUCUAGCAAUGAGGGAGAGGGGAGUUCAUCUACAUACCCUUGUAGAUCAUGAGCGGAAGCGUUCAAGAGAACGGGGUUGAUGGAGUCGUACUCGUCGUGCUCCAAAUCACCGAUGACCUAGCGCCGAACGGACGGCACCUCCGCGUUCAACACACGUACGGUUGGGGAAGACGUCUCCUCCUUCUUGAUCCAGCAAGGGGAAGGAGAGGUUGAUGGAGAUCCAGCAGCAUGACAGCGUGGUGGUGGAAGCAGCGGUGAUCUCGGCAAGGCUUCGCCAAGCUCCAACGAGAGAGAGAGAGAGAGAAAGAGGUGUUACGAGGGGAGAGGGAGGCGCCAGGGACUUGGGUGCGGCUGCCCUCCCUCCCCCCACUAUAUAUAGGACCCCUAGGGGGCGCCGGCCCUAGGAGAUCCAAUCUCCAAGGGGGCGGCGGCCAAAGGGGGGACUUGCCCCCCAAGUCAGGUGGGGCGCCCUCCACCCCUAGGGUUUCCAACCCUUGGCGCAGGGGGAGGCCCAUGGGGGGCACACCAGCCCACCAGGGGCUGGUUCCCCUCCCACUUCAGCCCAUGGGGCCCUCCAGGAUAAGUGGCCCCACCCGGUGGACCCCCGGGACCCUUCCGGUGGUCCCGGUACAAUACCGAUUACCCUCGAAACUUUCCCGAUGGCCGAAACUGGACUUCCUAUAUAUAAAUCUUUGCCUCCGAACCAUUCCGGAACUCCUCGUGACGUCCGGGAUCUCAUCCGGGACUCCGAAAAACUUUCAGGUUACCGCAUACUAAUAUCUCUACAACCCUAGCAUCACCGAACCUUAAGUGUGUAGACCCUACGGGUUCGGGAGACACGCGGACAUGACCGAGACGACUCUCCGGUCAAUAACCAACAACGGGAUAUGGAUACCCAUGUUGGCUCCCACAUGCUCCUCGAUGAUCUCAUCAGAUGAACCACGAUGUUGAGGAUUCAAUCAAUCCCGUAUUCAAUUCCCUUUGUCAAUCGGUACGUUACUUGCCCGAGAUUCGAUUGUCGGUAUCCCAAUACCUCGUUCAAUCUCGUUACCGGCAAGUCACUUUACUCAUACCGUAAUGCAUAAUCCCGUGAACAAACACUUGGUCACAUUGAGCUCAUUGUGAUGAUGCAUUACCGAGUGGACCCAGAGAUACCUCUCCGUCAUACGGAGUGACAAAUCCCAGUCUCGAUCCGUGUCAACCCAACAGAUACUUUCGGGGAUACCUGUAGUAUACCUUUAUAGUCACCCAGUUACGUUGUGACGUUUGGUACACCCAAAGCACUCCUACGGCAUCCGGGAGUUACACGAUCUCAUGGUCUAAGGAAAUGAUACUUGACAUUGGAAAAGCUCUAGCAAACGAACUACACGAUCUUGUGCUAUGCUUAGGAUUGGGUCUUGUCCAUCACAUCAUUCUCCUAAUGAUGUGAUCCCGUUAUCAAUGACAUCCAAUGUCCAUAGUCAGGAAACCAUGACUAUCUGUUGAUCAACGAGCUAGUUAACUAGAGGCUCACUAGGGACAUGUUAUGGUCUAUGUAUUCACACAUGUAUUAUGAUUUCCGGAUAACACAAUUAUAGCAUGAAUAAUAGACAAUUAUCAUGAACAAGGAAAUANNNNNNNNNNNNNNNNNNNNNNNNNNNNNNNNNNNNNNNNNNNNNNNNNNNNNNNNNNNNNNNNNNNNNNNNNNNNNNNNNNNNNNGGAGAGAAGGAAUGGGGAGGAAGGAGGAAGGAAAGGGGGGCCGGCCCCCUUCCCAAUUCGGAUUGGGCUUGGGGGGCGCGCCCCCUCCUUUGCUCCCUUCUCCUCUCUCCCACUAUGGCCCAAAAUAAGGCCCAUAUACCUCCCGGGGGGUUCCGGUAACCUCCCGGUACAUCGGUAAAUGCCCGAUCUCACCCAGAACCAUUCCGAUGUCCAAAUAUAGUCAUCCAGUAUAUUGAUCUUUAUGUCUCUACCAUUUCGAGACUCCUCGUCAUGUCCGUGAUCAUAUCCAGGACUCCAAACUACCUUCGGUAUAUCAAAACACAUAAACUCAUAAUACGAUCGUCAUCGAACGUUAAGCGUGCAGACCCUACGGGUUGGAGAACUAUGUAGACAUGACCGAGACACGUCUCCGGUCAAUAACCAAUAGCGGAACCUGGAUGCUCAUAUUGGUUCCUACAUAUUCUACGAAGAUCUUUAUCGAUCAAACCACAUAACGAUAUACGUUGUUCCCUUUGUCAUCGGUAUGUUACUUGCCCGAGAUUUGAUCGUCGGUGUCUCAAUACCUAGUUCAAUCUCGUUACCGGCAAGUCUCUUUACUCGUUCCGUAAUGCUACAUCUCAUAACUAACUCAUUAGCUACAUUGCUUGCAAGGGUUAUAGUGAUGUACAUUACCGAGAGGGCCCAGAGAUACCUCUCCGACAAUCGGAGUGACAAAUCCUAAUCUCGACCUAUGCCAACUCAACAAACACCAUCGGAGACACCUGUAGAGCACCUUUAUAAUCACCCAGUUACGUUGUGAUGUUUGGUAGCACACAAAGUGUUCCUCCGGUAUUCGGUAGUUGCAUGAUCUCAUAGUCAUAGGAACAUAACCAUCAUUGAUUCAAUGAGUGAUCCCGUUAAUCAAAUGACAACUCAUGUCUAUGGUUAGAAAACAUAACCAUCAUUGAUUCAAUGAGCUAGUCAAGUAGAGGCAAACUAGUGGCACUCUGUUUGUCUAUGUAUUCACACAUGUACUAAGUUUCCGGUUAAUACAAUUCUAGCAUGAAUAAUAAAACAUUUAUCAUGAUAUAAGGAAAUAUAAAUAACAACUUUAUUAUUGCCUCUAGGGCAUAUUUCCUUCAAACUUUUUGUCCCAUACCCUUACCCUAAUAGGGUUUUUACCUACAUGGUACGUGGGUAAUGGGUACCCAUUGCCAUCCCUACUUGUAAGCCUGUAUUUGAGCUUGGUUAGCAAGUUUACACACUUUUUGUGACCAGGAAACCAAGGUUCCAUGCAUUUGUAACAGAUGCCCUUAACUAUAGCUUGUUGUAUGAUUGAGGCACUGUUAGUUGGGCCAGGCUUUCCAAGAUCAAAUUGCACCUGCCUUCUAACCUAUUCAACAAUAGUGCUCUAUACAACUCUUCUAUGUGGUUGUGAUUGUUCCAUCCUCCUUGCAAGCCAUAUUGCCUUGUGUAAGUCAACGGGGUCAUGACACUGGACAUGAUGUUGAAUGUUGGCAUUUAAGCUAGCUAUAAACCUUGUCUUGUAGUACGCAAUGUUGUAUGGCGCUGAGUGUUGGCCGACUAAAAAAGCGACAUGUUCAACAGUUAGGUGUGGCGGAGAUGCGCAUGUUGAGAUGGAUGUGUGGCCACACAAGGAAGGAUCGAGUCCGGAAUGAUGGUAUACAAGAUAGUGUUGGGGUAGCACCAAUUGAAGAUAAGUUUGUCCAACAUCGUCUGAGAUGGUUUGGGAAUAUUCAGCGCAGGCUUCGAGAAGCUCUAGUGCAUAGUAGACGGCUAAAGCAUGCGGAUAAUGUCAAGAGAGGUCGAGGUAGACCGAAUUUGACAUGGAAGGAGUCCUAAAGACAGAUCUGAAGGAUUGAAGUAUCACCAAAGAACUAGCCAUGAACACGGGUGCGUGGAAGUUGGCUAUCCAUGUGCCAGAACCAUGAGUUGGUCGCCAGAUCUUAUGGGUUUCACCUCUAGCCAAUCCAACUUGUUUGGGACUAAAGACUUUGUUGUUGUUAUUGUUGUUUUGUUGUUGUUGUACAAACCUUGUCUUGUAGUAAUCUUGAGGGUAGAGCUGGAUUAUCCAUUCUCAUUAAAUUCAUGGACUGCUCAAACUUUAGUACAUAGUCAUUGACAGUGCUUGUUUGAGUAAGAGCAUGGAAAGUUCUCGCAAUAUCACAUACAGAAGUUUCAGAGAAUCCAUCUCCAAGGUACCUACAAAAUUUGUACUAGGGCAGUGUGUUGGCAAUUAUCCCAGUUCCUCUCCACCAUUCAAUAGCAGGGCCCUUGAGGUAUGUAAUUGUAAUCUCAUUUUCCUGUUUAGCUGGUGUUCUUGUAGCUUCAAGUACAUUUCAAUAGUUUGUAUCCAAGAGUCAGUGCCAUUGCCAUCAAACUCGGGAAUGUUGUACUUUGCUGGCUUAACUAUGGCAAGAGGUCUUCUGUUGUCUUACACUUGAUCUAUUGGCAUAUUUGCUACUCUUCUUUCUUUCUGUUGAGUAGGGUCUUCCAGCUCUUCCUGAUCUAGCUGAAUAAUUUGUUGUGCAGUUCCUGGUUGAGGACCUCCAGUGGUAGCUUUUGCUUCAGUACCAUUGUUUUUGUUCUGAGCAAAAUGAGGGUGUCUAUAGGGAAUUUUGUUGCUGCCAUCCAAAUUGAGCUCUUUUCCAGUCUGCUUGUCAACAAGGACUGCAGAGCCAGCCGUUGGUGGAGUAUGAAGAUCAUCUAUUGGGUGUUUGAGAGAGCCUUGAGGGGUUUGACGUUGUCCACUGCCUUGACUAGCAUCUUGCGUAUUGGGUGUGUUAUCUCUUGGUUUAGGGAAACCUGAGAGAGAUAAACUGAUUUAAAGUUCCCUAUGGUUCCCCUAAGGUUUUCUAGAGUGACUGGAAGUUGUUUGUCAUAUGCUCUCUGAAAUCCUCAAAAUCCUGCCUGUCAUGCUCUCUAUGCUGUUGUAGGGGUUUGACAUCCAAUUGCAAGGAUUGUACUUCCAAGUUAUCCAUGGAAGAGGAGUCCAUUGGGCCAUCCAUCAUGUGAUAAGAAGUAUAAUAGGAAGGGUUUUAGAACUGGCAAGGAACCAAGUAACCUCACUACUGAUGAUCUUCGGGCAAAGGAGGGGAUUUUACAAUAGCAAGAGCUGCAACCGGACCUUAGCCGUUGAUCCUGCCACCGCCACCGCCAACGCCAUGCCACUGGAAGUACACCGGAUCUGGAGGGUGGGAUUUUACUGCCGAAGCGGUGCGUUUCUGUAACCACUUCCCAGCUCCAGACCUGUACCGAACUGUCGCCACCGCCACACGUGCCCAGGGAACACACCACGAGUAAAGGAUUUUAUGGGUCCCCCGACUCCACUUCGGCACCAGAUCUUGCGACACCGAGGAGAUGAACCAAGCUUCGAUUACCACUUGUAAGACUUGAGUCGGUCUGAAGAACUAGAUUCAAACAAGUUAACUGAAACACUCAAAUCUUAGCAACUUUAUUGGAUAAUUAUGAGAGUUUGGAUGCAAAUCAAGAGGAACCUAAGGCCGGCCAGGAACACUAGAGGCUAAAAGGAGGAAACCCUAAUACAAGAGAUGGUUCUCCAUCGAUCCAGAAACGGGGCUUUAUAGCCUUACAAAAUGAAGGAAAAAGUAAGAAAGUGAAACUGAAGCUGGUAGACAUUGUUCUCUUUGCCGGAAAGGUAAACAGCGACGCGCUCAAGAUCUACAACCAUCCGAUGCAGGAUGGACACGAUCCAGAGCAUCAAGAAACCGUGAAGCGGUACGGGCGCAGGACGAACGUCAGAUCGCAGAUGGACGGUAUUGGGAGCUUCGCCAACAACUGCGAAUUCAAACUUAACUAAAUCUAUGUCUGCAUUGUUCUAAUUCUUGAGAUGCUCGCCGUUAGGUCCUGACACCACUCUCUUUUCUUUUAGGCAAGAACAUGACACUCGUAGACAUGAUGUGCUGAUGGGCUGAGGCUUCAGCCUGCUGCCUAAAUUACACAUGGGCAUACGACAAAGACCUGUUUUUUCUUGAAGAUACAAAGACCUGUUUUUGUUCCAGAGCCAACAAACGCCUCGGAUCCCUCCGUAUCACGGCACUGUUUUUACGCGCAACGCUGGCGCAAGGGGCCGCCGGUCUUAAAUCGCCGUGCGCCCCUGUCGCCGUGCCCGUCGAAUACCGUCGCUCUCCGGCGGAGGCAGCCGAACAGGACGGUUGGUGGGCACGUACGUUCGCCGCGCGUGGGCAACGGCCAACGGGGUACGGUGGCCUUCUCUGUCGGUUUGCCUGUGAAGUGACACGCCGCCAACCGGCGGACGCGGACGCCGUCCGGGCCUUCCAUUACGGUACGUGCCCUACACACCUCAGCAGGAUCCAACAUCCCGUACCACAUUUAACAUGCCACACACAUCUCACGUUACCAUUUCUUCUCAAUUACUGCAUCAGGAUGCAACAACCGCUCAGAGUCAGAGGUCCAUGCAACCAGCGUAAGUACCAGAGUUUCGUUACAACAAGCAGAGAGAGCACUUCACGCUUCCAGGAUUAACAACGCAGGCACAUGCAGCACGAGCAGGUCAUGAUAAGGGAAAACAAAUCUCCGCGUUAAUCGGCCAUGAAAACGCCUAUAUCAAACAGACAGUUGUUUCCAUUCCCAGAAUUACAAACCAGCACUCGAGCACUCAGCACGCACACGACGACAACAAGCAAGCUAAGCUUUCUCAUAUCUACAGCAAAGCUUAUCUUUUGGUCAAACACUAGCUUCUCUCUCUGUAUACACCCGCUGCAAACAAACCGCAGGCAAAAGAGGGGGGGGGAGGCCAUUCUAUGGUGAUAUGCACUCGAAAAAAAUUACAUGAAUCAGCUACACUCAGCGGGAUCGGUCGAGCGGAUUAGGAGGGGACACACUUCACACCCAACAAAUGGUUACAGCUUUAUUACCUGUCGUAGUAGUAGUCUCCAGUGAGGAAAGAUGAGGCCGUGUCAUGUUAGUAGUGACCACCAACGUGGCGACGAUAACUGAUCUACCACUGUGUUUGGAGGCUCUGCCUUUGCUUUCGCUGCAGCAAGUGAGUUUUCAAGCUGCACUGUUUGAC
rnacentral:lncRNA from 1 species